rnacentral:lncRNA from 1 species
AUAAAUUUUAUUAUUUUUCGAUAUCAUUUGCCUAGUGAUCGAAUAGGCUCAAAAUCAACAAAUUUCAAUAGCCAUAGUGAGCCGUUUGCAAGUUUAACGGUGUAGAAAUAUCCAAAUUACGUGAAAUUUUGAUAGAAAAUUCUUCAUACUAUAUAAAACAAGAUCAAUAUCAUUGACUUAAAAUUUUAAAUGUAUAUAUAUAUAUAUAUAUAUAUAUAUAAUAUUUUAUAUAUAAUAAAGUAGGGCUACUGGGCUAUUAGGAGCACAGCACCCCUUGUGCUCCUAACUUUCUAACCACCCAUCAAGUUUGAUAGGCGGUUAGAAAAAGAUAGGGAGGAGAUAUUGAAGAGAAAUUUAAGGAGAAGAGAAAUUGAAACACCCAAUUUCUCGCCAAUAUCUCCUCCCUCUCUUAUUCUAACCGCCCAUCAAACUUGAUGGGUGGUUAGAAAGUUAUGAGCACAAGGGAUGCUGUGCUCCUAAUAGCACAGUAGCCCUACUCUAUAUAUAUAUAUAUAUAUAGAGUGCUAUCGAGUUUUCGACCGUUGGAUGAAAGGAUGUGCGGUUAGGGUAAUAGUGGUCCUCUAGAAUUGAGUGGGUAAGUGAUUGAAUUUAACUUUCGGACUAUACGAGUUAUAUCAAAUUAAAUAAGAAAAUAAUAACUACACGUCAAAAAAUUCAAACACUACUGGACUUGAGUUACGUUGGAUUUAAAAAUUCGUAAAUCCAAACUAGGGAUGUUACCCGAAAUAUUAUCCGAACCCGAAUCCGACCGGAGCGGAUUUACCUGAGCUAAACAUAUAUAGAUUCGGUUAUGAGUAUAGAAAAUGAAAAAAUGACGGAUAUGGAUACGGGUAUAGAUUUUAGAUUUACGCGAUCCAAACCCGAACCCGACCCGAACCCAAACCCGAACUUUGAACCCGAAUAAAUUAUAUAACAUUUUGAUAUCUAGAGAUUGCAUUAGAUAUUUAGAUAAUGUAUUGUUGUUUUUAACUAUUUAAACUUAUGUUUUUCUUAUCCAGAUAUUGAUAUUGUAUAAUAUGAAUGUUUUAAUAUUGUAUUUGAUUGUAUUUUGAAAAUUUUAUUUUGAAAAUUUUGAUUUUACUAUAAUAUACUUUUAAAUAUGAUAAAAAGAAAUCAUUAUAUUUCGGGUUCGGAUUUUCGGGUUCAGUUUCAGAUUCGGAUUUUGGGUUCGGAUAUGAGUAUGGAUUUUUAAAACUCGUCGGAUUUCGGUCCAAGUUCGGGUUUUAAUUUAAUUUUCAAGUUCGGAUUCGAGUUUUUAAAAACCCAACUCAAACUCGACCCGUUGACAUCCCUAAUCCAAACCCUAUUAAUGCUAAAGGCAUAUGGUACUUACUUGAAUAUACUGUGAAGGGGUAUAAUUCGGUACAAGUCUGAACUGUUGUUCCAUCUUUUUUCCUUAAACAAGUUUGUUUCCAGAUGGGAAUAAGAUUAAUUAAAAUCUAAAUUUAAUUUUAAUGGCAGUAAAUUAUUAAUUAAUCUAAUUAAUAUAUUUAAAUCAUUAUCUAUUACUUAAAUAAUAAAGUAAUUAAAUAAUUUAUCAUUUAUAAUUAAUUAGCUAAUUAACUAUUAAUAAUUUAAUGUGUUUAUAUUCAUAUCGAUCAAUCAUUAAUAUUUUUAUUAUCUAAUUACUAAUUAAAAUAAUUUACUAACUAAUUAAAAAAUUAAAAUUUGAUAUUUAAUUAAGUAAUUAAUAUAUUUUUUAUUAUCGUAUAAAAUAUUUAUAGCUAAUAAAUGUAUUAAUUUAUUAAAUUAUUUUUAAUUAAUAUUUUGAUAUUAAUUAAUUAGUUAAAAUAUUUUUAACUCUUUUUUUUUUCCAAUCUAAUUAUCCAAACACUAUUCAACUUAGGCUUUGUUUGAAACUGCGGAGAAGUUACAUUACAUGCGGUGAGAAAGUACAAUAAAAAAAUACUCUGUUUAUUUAUGUAUAUAAUAUUACAUUUAGCGUAUCGCGAUUAAUCGGUUACGAUAUAUUUUCUACGAUCCUAUCGAAAAAUACAAAAAUAUAUCCUUAUAUAUUUUUUCCUUAACUCUAUUUUAUGUAAUAAAUAGACCUUACCACCAAACUAAGACUUAUUCUCAUAAAUAACCUAAUUUCAUUCAAACACAAAAUUGACUUAGUUCCCAUUUAUAUCUACAUUUAUAUAUAUUACUGGAAUAAACCAUUUUUACUUAUACCUGAACCAAAAGGAGCCGGAAGGGGAAAAUGCUGCCGAUUUGAUUGCGCCCUCGCUGGACGGAGGCGGCGGCAGCGGUGGCGGAGGCGGAAUCGGACGCAGAGGUGAUGAGAUGAGAGGAUUGCAAGCUCUUCUUCUUCUACUUCUCACUCCGGAUCUUCUGCGGGAUCCGUGCGCGAUGACGGCGGCGAUGGCUGAGCGGAGCGGAGCAGAAGCGGGAUUUCGGGCUGGAUUUGGGGCGAGGAUGCGACGGAGAACGGCGCGGAGUCGUGGGCAGAUCGACGGGAUGUGACGGGCGAGCGCUGCGCGAGUGACAGGCAUGGGAUCCUGUCGGUUUUUUUUUUGUUUUGUUUUUUCUUUUCUUUUAAAUGUGUGUUGCCGGUAAUAGGCUCCAACUGGGCUCGGCCCAUUUCGGGGCGAGCCCAACAAUGGUCUAUAAUAUAUUUUGAAAUAUGAUAAAGAGAAAUCAUUAUUUCGGAUUCUGAUUUUCGGGUUCGAAUUUAGGUUCGAUUUUGGAUUUUUAGUCGGGUUCGGAUAUGGGUAUGAAUUUUUAAAACCAGCCGGGUUCGGAUUAGGAUCCGAGUCCUGAUUUUAAUUUGAUUUUCGAGUUCAGAUUUGAAUUUUCGAAAAUUCGAUCCAAAUCCGAACUGUUGACAUCCCUAGUUCUACCCAUUAAGUGGAACGAGUUAUUCUCUAUCUUAUUUCUCUACUAAUUAAGUUAUAAAUAAAAAUAUUAUAAAUUAUAAUUAAAUUAAUGCAAUUAAAUUUUUUAAUAAUUGACUAAUUAAUUAUUUAAAUUAUUGAAUUAAUAAAUAUUUAAAUAAUAAUUUAUUUAUAAUUUAUUAUUAUUUAUCUAAUUAAAUAGCUAGCCAUGUGAUAUGCUUAUUCAAUCAUUAACUAAUAUUUACACUAUUUAAAUAAUUAGUAUUUUAAUUUAUAUAAUUAAUAUAUUAACUAAAAAUAUAAAUGAUUAAAUAAUUAAUUAAUAUUCAUAUUGACUUAUUUUUUGUAGUUAUUUACUAAUUAAUGUCAUCUUUGUCAUCUCAUAUAAUAAUUUUAAUUAAUUUAUUUAUUAACUUAUAAAUUAUUUUUUCAAUCAUAAUAGCUCUUAUCCCUACUAUUCCAAUCUAAUCAACUAAACAUAAUUUUUCUUAUUCCUCUAAAUAUCUUGAUUCUUGUCCAAAUACAAAAUUAAAUUAAUUCCAAUCUAUCCAGUUAUACCUAUUCUACAAUUAAAUAAAAAUAGCUUGUACUCAAGUGGCCUAUAAUAAGUGAAUAGCCUGUGACGUGCAUAUAUAGUCAGUAAUGAGUUUUACAUUAAAUAUAUAUGUUAGCAUUCGGUUAAAUCAAAUCGGGUGCAUCCAUGAUCGGGCUUGAUCCGACGGUUAUUAUGUUAUCUAAUUAAAUUAGAAUUAAUCUCGCUUUUAAAUUGAAAAGCUAAUUAGAGAUAAAUUCUAAUCAUAUUAGGAUAAUAAUUAAUAACCGAUUUGACCUUAUCUCUUAUACACUCUAUUAGGAUUUUGAAAUCCCUUAUAAAUAUACGGCCGAUCUCACAAAAAAGUAUAAGAAAGAGAAUAAAAAAAUCGAGAGAGAAAAACAUAGAAACCACAUCCUUUGAUUAACCUAUUAUUCCAGUGAGGUUUGAAUGGUGGAUUUGCGAACGUGCUCGUUUGUAGUUCGAUCCACCGCGAGUUUGGAGCGAUAGAAGAUUUUCAAGGACGAUCCGAUAACACGUGAAUCAACCUCUACGAUCCGCGCUCAUCGCGUUCUAACGCGAAUCGCUUCCGAAAAAAAGGUACGAACAAAUAUUUCUGCUGCGUUCUACAAUAUAUAUAAUAUAUUUAUCCAAUCCUAUCAUCCCACUGCUUAAACAUCCUAAUCAACAAGCCAAACCCUAAUUAGUCAGAGUCGACAACUUUAUACCCACUCCCUUAUCACAUCAACAACUUCGUUGUGUCCAGGGAUAGAUGAUGCAUCUAUAGGAAAAACUAUUUAUUGUUAUUUUUACUCAAAAAUAACUAAUUUAUAUCCCGUAUAUACCCUUUGUAUCAAAUUUAUAGCCAUUAAUUGGUUUAAUAUUAUUUGUUUAAAGUGAUUAUUAAAAUUAUUAAAUUGGAUGAAUCUGCCAAUGAAUCUGCAAAAGCUUUCAAAUUUUUUGUCAAAAAUCAAAGGUUAAAGAAUCUCAGCCAAAAAAAAAAAAAAAAAAAAAAAAAAAAAGAAGAGAGAAAAUUGAGGAGGCUAUUUCAAAAAUAGCAUAUAAUUAAUUGAGGGGGUCUCCAUAUAAUUUUUUACCAAAAAUAAAAUUUUUGCGUGUAAGUGGAUCUAAUUAGGAAAUGCAUGUAGUUUUCUUUAGCAGGUGAAGGAACUGAUGAGCCAUUUCCAAAAUAUUAUUUAACUUUUCUUGAUCUUUUCCUUGCAUGUUCAAGUUUGAAAAAGGAGAUUUGACUUUGUAUAUCUCUAUAUAUAUAUGACACAAAAUUUUCUCCAAUUUCUCCAGUAGUGUUGUUGAAGUGUUUGCAAUUGCAAUGGGCUCCUCCAAUUCUACAAGUACUUCUCUCUCUUUCUCUCUUUACAUCAAGCUUAUAUAUAUUGUUAAGUACUCUUCAAAUUUUGCUGUAAAAGUAGAAGUUUAAAAUUAGAUCAACCACAUAGUUAGUGUGCGUUGAAUUACGACCGAACACCCACUCAAUACAUUUGUAAACAUAUAUGUGUUGGAUUGAGUUUUGAUCGCAGGUCGAUCAGGGGAGAAGGCUUUCAAGUGGAGGAUCGAUGGGUUCUCCUCCCUUAUUAAUCUAGGCAAUGAGUGGACUAACUCGAGCUCGUUCGAUGCGAAGGGCCUAAAAUGGUAUAUUCGUUUAUUUUGUUCGUUCUCGCCCGAUGAUAAUUUUUUUCUUAAUAUGAUCUUAAUGCUAUCAUAAAUAGAACCUAAGUUACCUCUUGAUCUUCUUUUUACACCUUUUAUAUAUGACUAAUAAUAUUUCAAAUCACUUUAAUGUUUGAGUGAGCUCAUGAAAGAAAACUAGUAGAAUCUCGAAGAAAAAUAGGUUUUGAAUAUAUAUAUCGAGCCUCCUAGAGAGACAUUUGCAUGGCUUUUCGAUGUAUGCAUACUCGCAGGUACAUAAGGGUGAAUCCAAUGGAUACAAAGAGCGGUGAUACAAAAAGACAUGUAUCUCUCAAACUUGAACUCGUGCGAUCAUCUGUGCAGCCUAAUAUUGUGAUAGAAGCAGUGUUCAAGCUUUUGAUAUAUGAUCAGUUGCGCAGAAAGCAUGUCGAAAACAUAGGUAUGCUCUAAAUCUUAUAUUUGAUGAAUAAUUUCAAAUGUUUUCGUUAUUUUGCCGUGUGUAUAUAUGGUGCCAUGAUGUUCAUAGAGUUAGUGUCACUCAUGAAGCAAUAAAAUGAAAUUGUUUUUAUUAUUGUUAUAAGUGGAUAGGUUAUUCCUCGAUCGGUUGAUUAAUCCUUACCUAUAAUUCUAAAAUUGAGUUCGAAAGAUGGUUAAAUUAGACUUGAUCAUCAAAUAGAAAUAGAAAAAGAAAAACCCCAAGAUGUCCUAGAUUAAAAUACAUAUUUACAAAGUCUUACGCGAACAUUCUUAUCGAUUUCUAACCUAGCAAGAACACCUAUUUACAAGUUAUCAAGCUAGGUUUUAAAUCAUCAAACUUCAAUUUCUCAAAGAGAAAAAAAAAUCCAACCUAAAUUUAGACCUAGCCAAAUCUUAGUUCAUUACUUCAUUUAUAUAUAUAUUUGUUAGGAAAUUUUAUGAUUUUGCAUCAAUGAAAAUGCUAAUAUUUUUGCCGCAGCAGAAAACUUCAACUUAACAUCGAUAAGUCAUGUUGCGAUUUGCAGUUACCGAUCACUUCCACGCUACAAGUACUGCUUCAGGAAGUUUAUUCAUGAUCCCCCUCGAUACAUUGAAAGAAUCAUCCGCCGGUUUUCUCAUCAACGAUAGUUGCAUCUUCGGUGCGGAGGUCGUGAAAGUUAGGAAAGUGCGACAGGACACCGUGUCGGAGACGCUAUUUGUGCAGAAGAGCAAGAAUGCUUCCGAUGUGUUCUCGUGGGAAAUCGAGAAGUUCACGGAGUUGCAGAAGCCCUACAGCACCUCUAAAGUUUUCGCCGCGGGCGGAUACAACUGGUUUGUGCUUUGCGUAAACGAAUAAUAUUUAAGCGUCAUGCAAAAACAAAUUUGUUGGAUUAUGAAGAUAAUAAAAUACGUAAAAAUAAUUAAAAAUAAUUUAUUUUUUUUAAUGAGUCUAUUAUGAAAAUUUAUUUUAUAUUUUUUCUACUAUUUAACCGGUGUCUCGUAAUAAAGUUGUUGGAUUUUGUCCAAAGCAAUAUAUUUGUUAACAAUAAUGUAAAGAUUGGCGAGAGAAAAAAAUAGUUUAGUGAUAUCUAUAAAAAAAAAAAUCCAAGAAAGAAAAAAAAAUAAAUUUAAACUACGGUGUAGAGAUUAAAAAAAUACAAUAAUACGAGGGUGUCUUUAAACAAAAAAUUUAUAUAAUAUAGCAAAUAAAAGUAACACUAAAGCACAAUAUAGUAGAGUGUAAUUUUGCCAAUAAAAUGAUAUUUUAAAAGUCGAGCCAAAUAAGAAAGAGUGACAAUUUUACUGUGCUCCUUUCUUUUUUCAUGUUCAUAAGACUAAUUUUAAACAUAUGAUUUAAAUCAUUAACUAUUGAAUUUUCUAUAUUUUAAUUUUAUGCGUAAAUUGUAUAUUUGUCACUAUUUACAUUCAUCUUAUUUAGUUUCGAAUGAAAUAUGCAGGUAUUUGAAACUUCAUCCAGAAGGCGAUGAGGCUACAAACUAUUUAUCUUUAUACGCAACGUUAGACAAGUCCAGCACACUUUCACCCGACUCCGGGGUUCUCGUAAAGCUAAGUUUGUGCAUUAAGGAUCAAAACAACGAUAACCAUAAACGCCACACAGGUUGGUACAUUUUUCUCUAUUUUAGAGAGAAUAAUUUUCAUUCUAUGUAUACUUAUAGUUAUUCUUUUUUUUUUUCCCCCCUAUUUUAUAUUUUGAAUAAAUCUAGCGCAAAUUCAAUUUACCGCAAAGUGCACCAGUUGGGGAUGGGGGAGAUUCAUAUCACUCGAAGAUUUCAACGAUCCAUUCAACGGAUUUCUGUUGAAGAACAAGUGCACUAUCGAAGCAUCCUUCACCGUUAUUGGAUUAUCAAAUCGAAAAUAAAGAUGAAUGGUUAUGACUUGUGAUUAUGAUCAGUGUUUUUUUCUAUAAUUGCGAAAAUAAAGUAAUUAGGAAUUGUGGUUAUGUUAGGAUUUCGGAAUAUUGAACUCUGUUUUUUCUUUUUUCUUUUUUUUUUAAAAUUUUUGAUGAACAAUAUUCAAGUUAUGAACAAUACUUUUUAUUUAUGUUAUUUUAUUUUUUUAAAAAAACUCUGUUUUCAUGUUGACAUAAUUAAAAAAAUAGUCAUACCAAAAUAUUCUUUCUCUUUCAAUCUAAAUACGCCUAUUGUUUGUAUGAUUUGCCUUCAGAAUCCAAAUCAAAAUUGAUGCCUCUAGCUAUUUGCUUCAGUCGUGUUUUUGAUGAUUCAUCAUUUUUAGAAUACUUUGAAAAUAGCAUAAUUGCAAUCUGCAAAGUGUUUGGUUUCUUAAAAAAAAAAGAUUAAUUUCUUUUAAUUUUUUUUUUUCAUGAAAAGCUCAACUUUUUAGAGUUUUUAGUUUGGAGAGUAAAUAGUUUGAGAGGCGAGAACACUACUUUUUCAUAAAAUUCAAAAAAAAAAAUCGGGAGCCCGAGCCAAACAAAUUAAAAAGUAUUUUUCAGCGAAAAUUUUUUUCCAUAAUUUUGAUUUCUCGAAAAAAAAAAACGUAAACUAUUCUUUUCCAUAAUUUUUGUUUAGAUUAAAAAAUUUGAAAAAUAAAAAUACUAUUUCUUUUAUGAAAUCUGAAAUUUUUUAAUCAAAUAUUUUUCAGCGGGAAAAUAUUUUCAAACACCAAACACCCCCUUGCUGAAGCGAACCGGGUCUACCCGGACCCGGUUUGUCCUCAAGCCUAGUUCCCGGUCCGGUUCAGGGUUUCUCAUUUCGCCCCCAAAUCCUUCGGAAAUUAGGGUUUCCCCCUUCCUCUUCUUCUUCUUCACCGAUGCCUCAGAUCCUUGGAUGUGGCACCAACCCCAAUCCUCGAGGUUCGAAGGACUCUAUCAAUGGCGUUGUUCAUGGAUUGAGCGGAACGAUCCAUCUUAUGGGAUCAAAUGUGGAGGUACCUUCGAUUUGAUGAGUUGUUCUCAUUACAAUUAGGGCUCCAAGCUACUAUGAUUUGUGUUCUCUUCAUAAUUUUGUGUAUAUUGAUCAAUUUGCAUGUAAAUAAUAUUUUUUUUUCCAAAAUUUUAUUGAUUUUGUGGAGCUCUGCGUUUGUUGUUAGUCUGAUACUUAGUUGGUGAUGCUCUUUUGCGCUUAGAAUUUGACAUUGGAGAUUAUGACGCUAUAAACCAAUGAAAUAAUCAAACCAUCUUAGCUUAGGUAGUAAGGCAUCUUGGUGCAGAAACCGACCAAUAAAAUAACCAAACCAUCUUAGCUUAGGUAGUAAGGCAUCUUGGUGCCGAAACCGAGUGUGUGCUCUUUAUACUUAUUUGAUAAACAAGGAGACCAAAUAAUGUCGAUCCGUUUUUGUAAUUUACCUUAUACUAAAAGGUGGUCGCCCUAGGUAUUUGGAGUGAAGUGUCACAAAUGUUAUAGCAUAAGAAUUGUGAUGCUAUCCUUGUCUAAACUUGUUACUUAAAUUCAUACGUCGCCAAAGCUUCAGUGACAAGUGGUGGUUGAAUGUCGCUAUCUCAACGACGAACCAUGUACUCUCUUGUCGCAGCUGACCAUGAAAUGAAUGAAGCUAAGUUAGAGACUUCUAUGAAGAGAAUCUUUGGCUUGCACUUAUGGAUCUUACUAUCAAAAUUUUAUGACUACAUUAAUGGAGCAAUUAUUAAUCGUCCUAUUUGUUAUAAGACGAUACUCAAGAAUUAUGCAUCAACUAUGAGAUGAAAUGAUCGAUUGUCCCCAAUGCAAGUGACACAUGGUUUGAUGGUUGGUACCUGUUGGUUCCAAAUUCGAAACCUAGUUGCUACAUAUUUCUAGCUAAGUUUAUUUCUUAAAAAAAUGGAAGAAGCAAGUAACAUGCUAUCUUUUUCUUGCUUAGGAAAAAAGAAAAAACUAUAAGAUGAAAUGAACAUUACAACUUGGGCUCCUUAUACUCUUUGUUUGGUCUAUCCCAGCCCUCAUUUUUGAGUUUCAUUUUCUUUGUUGUUUGGAAUGCAAGUGUCAUAUGUGAACCCUUGUUUGCCUUCUGAAUGAUGUUUCAGAACCUGAAAUGGGAAAACAACUAUAUAAUUUACAUGAUCAUGUAACUAAUUCACUAAGUCAUUCAACCAGUGAUAUCACAAUUUUGUAAUACACACAAAUUGCAAGAGGAUACUAUAGAACAUAUACGAAAUGAGAAAAAUCUAGGAACAAAUAAGUGGAUAUCUGUCAUAUACUAGCAUUUAACAUACUAGUUUAUUUUGGUCUUGGUUGCUAUGAGGUUUAUUUGUCUCCUAAGUUGGUGUAUUGAGAAGAAGUAGGAAGUGGAGCAGAAGACAAACCAAAAGAAAGUUAGCUGAUAUAUCACUGCAUAUAAUGGCUUAGAUUUUUGUGUUAUAUCAGGAAAAUUCGUCUGGUUAAGAAGCGCCAAAUUAAGUGAGUCAAUAACAUCUGUUGACAUUGGGUGCACGGUGCAAACUCGCUGUCCUUUAUUUUUUCACUCAGCUACUUUCUGCAUUACCUAUCGUAAAGCAUCUAUUGUGAUAUGUUGAGCCUUAGUGAUUCAACUUCUGUAAUUUGAGAAUUGUGAGAACCAGAAUCUUCUUCUAACUAGUGUGUGAAUUAUAUUAUUGUCAUGAUGUAGUAUGCUACACAAAAUUGUAAUUUAUACAUUAUGCAAAUGUACUGCCCAAGUUCAGUUUUCAGAAUUUAUACUCUUCUUUGAUCUGCAAUUACAUCUAUGUCGUGUAUUCAUUUUUUUGGAAGUGCUAUGCCGUGCUAUUGUUACGUUCAUGAAACGACCUUACUCUCUAUUUAAUAUUUUUGUAUAAUCCUUUGCUAAGCAGACGAAGAAGGUAGCAGGAAAAAUUGAUUACACUUAUGGUUUACUACUCUCGACAUUUGACAGUCUCAUCUUGGGAGCUCCAUCAAGAUUAUCGUGGUGCACGAAAGAAACAUUCGAAUGGUAUAUUACAUGCUUAUCCUGUUUAUAACAAGGUGUUUACUUUUCUUUUUUCUUUCGUGAAAUUUACUGAUUUAAAACUCAUCUUUGGUGCUUAUUAGUCGCAUCUUUGGAGGUGAGCAGGAUUUAGAAAGAAAAAGUUUCCAGUGCUAGCAGCACUCGCAGAACUGCUGCGAAGGAUCAACACACUGAAGAACAUUAAGGAAGACAUCCUUGCCACAGGGUAUGCAGAGUCUGGAAUCGGGCUGGAACUCAUACUCAUCGCGAGCUCGAUCAAGCAAUUCCUGGAACAAGGGGUGCUCAAGGUAGGAAAGCCUAAUAACGUACCUCUUGCACUCCUCUCCCACAUACACUACCAUGUGACCCUUGGGGACGUCUUUUGGAAUAGUAGUUUGCUCUUCCUCUUUACUAUUCAGAAGAGACCUCUCUAACUUAUUAUACCGACUUGUGGAGGUUGAGAACUCGUGGCGCAUCUUCUUCCACUUCUUCAGGAAAGCCUUGAGGAAUCUCCCCUUUAGUAUCUUCAUUGGUUCUAGUGGUGAGUUGAAAAUAGUGUGGAGCCAAUGAGGAAUGACAUGUGCUUAUAUACUGUAGGGGAGCCAUGGUCUUGGAGCGGUUGCAUGAAUUAGAUAAGAUGAUUGAUGUUAAAUCCUACCAUGCACCGGGAGCACCACAUCAGUUGCGCACCACCCAAUGAGAUGUCGUGCUUCCCAUCUCAUACUUCGGACCUCACCGCAGGGAGUUGUAGCAUUUUCUUGAUCUAGAAAUUAUUCUCUGUAAGAGUGAGUUGGACGAUUAGAUUGAAACAUGAGGAAUGGUGGUGCAUGGCUGGCAGGGUGCACCAGGUCCAGAUGAUAUUUUCUCGGUUAAACAUAGCUAGAAGUGAGCUUUAAAUCCUCUUGAUCCAUGUUAAAGGUUAAAUGGCAUGUAAGGUGCUUAUCAAGUGAUUUUACUCAAAGCAUUAAAUGGGUAUUCUCGGAUGAUUGGUUGGAUGGGAGGUCCAAUGGGAUAUAUAUAUAUAUAUAUAUAUAUAUAUAUAUAUAUAUAUAUAUACUAAUUUUGUUUUUAUUUUCUCUUUUAAUAGCAGGUAAGCUGUACGAAACUGUAUGGAAUGGUACAAUGCGCCCGAUGGAUAGGAGCAAUCUCUUUCCAAAUGGAUUGGCUCUCGAAGCGAAACUGAGCAUAUUACUGCUCCUCGAAGUUCUCAAAGUUGUUGACACCACAUCAUUGGUAGGGGGGGCCAAGGAUAAGGUUUCCGGAAAGGAAUAGAAGAGGAUGGGAGGACUCAUUCAUUGGAUUGGGUGCUGCAUUCAAUUUCGGAGGGAGGUGAGAGCAUUACUUCUUCUGAUGCUUCAAACACACUUGGCUUAUUCAGUCCACAUUUUGUAUUCAAUUUUGAUUCGGCUGCUGAUUAAGUUGAAACCAAACCUACUUUUUCACGAGAUUAGUAGUUGUUAAUGUUACUGUCUCAGUCAUCGAAAAAUAGGAAGUAUGGUUUAUUAAUAUUCGAAGUCCCUUUAAUGGCAGCUACAAAGAUAAGACUGUAAUAGUAACUAAAGUGGAUACAUUGAACUUUUCGAACCUCUUGUGCUCUUUGUAAAUGUUAGAUUCUGAAUGAGAAAAGCAGUAUACUUUGAAAUCUUGUGCUUUGGCUUCUUGAAUAGAUGGUUGAUAACUUGAUUGCUUAUAUGAUUAGUCUAUAAUUCAAUGAUUAGUUGAUUAUUUAUACAGUGAGUUCAUGUUGGUUGAUGACUUGUUCUUGGUAGAAUGUUUUUCGUGAAUACACUUGAGUUAAUAUAUAAUCCUUUUUGUUGUAGUUAAAAACUAAUCCUGUAAUAUUGAAGAAAGAGUCGAAGUACAUAGAACUAUAGAUAAUUUGUGUCUCGUUCCAACCGAUCAAUUUAAUGAAUUAUUGAGGAGGCAAGAUGAAUUAAAUCAGUGUCCUUGUGAAUUUUAACAACUAUCAAAUUAAAAUUCUCCAUGUCACCAUGUUAGUAAAAUGGUCUCAUUCAAAUUCUCAGGCCUUUUUACGUAAGCUGCUGUGACACCUUCUUACAAGUUUUCUCUUGGCUAUUAUAAUUACCACUCUACCUAUGAAUUAAAUCACUGUCCUCUCAAAAUGGUAUAGAAGAUGUAAGUGGGUAUGGCUUUUUUUUUUUUUUUUUUUUUUUUUUUUUUUUUUUUUUUUUUUUUUUUUUUUUUUUUUUUUUUUGAGAGAGAGAGAGAGAGAGAGAUAUUUGCUACCCGUUUUGUUUAUUUUAUUUAGAAGUAAACUUAGCUGGAAAUGUGAAUCAACUAGAAUUCGAACUUAGGACCUCGGAUACCAACCACCAAGCUCUUUGCCACUUGCGCUGGUGAUGGUCGGUGUAAGUAGGUAUGGCGUUGCUCUUUGGUUUUUCUAUAACAAGUGUGUAUUAAUCUUUUGUGGAUUCUAAAUGGUCGAGAUUUGUUGGAGGAAAUGCCGGAAAACUUCUUAUUAUUCAUUACUAGUUAACUUAAUUAUAACUAAACUGAUCAGUAGAUAGAUGUGCAGUAAGUUUCUGUACACCAGGUUGUAGAAAAUUUGCUCCCUUUUCAAAUGCCAGCCCAUUUUGACCUGCUCCUAAAACGGAUGUGUUGGAACUCAGUUUGCAUUGGAACAAGGCCCAGGCCCAGGAUUACUUUUCGGAACCUGUGUUAAUUGGGCUUCUCAUGGGGGUUCCCUGGGCUCAUAUAUUCAGCUUGGCCUGUUUAGUUUCUCUACAUGAAGGAAUAGAGGAUACUAGUUACUACUAUAACCUUAUAUUAGGGUAGUGUCGUGGUGAACGGUCAUGCUUUGGAUACCCAAGAAGAUCCUUUCAGGUGUUUCUGAUGAGUUACUAAUCUGCUGACAUAGGCGAGUACUGACUCAUCAAUAAUAUUAGAGAAGAACUUCUGGCGAAAUAAAGCGGGGCACUGAUGCCGGUACUUUUACUUACAGGUGGCAUUAAAGGUCUCCUGAAGAGUCUCCAGCGUGUGUGGAUUGGCUUUUACAUUACAGACCAAUACAUCAGGUGAUACAGAAACAUAGAGGUGGCAUGUCUCCAUUUGUUCCUGUUGAACAAAAGGCUAUAAUGAAAUAGGAUAAGAUGUUGAUCUUGGAUGUUCAGAGGUGUGAGGGCAAUAAUGCAAACUCCUCUAUCAGGGUAAGAGGGUCCAAUAAUACUACUAUAAAUGGCCACUAUUUUUCUUAGGGCCUACAAUGCCCAAGGGCUUUAAAUGCUGUGGCAUAUCCAUGUCAUCAUUUUUUUUUUCUUUUUUUUUUUUCUGGUGAAUUUUUUCCCUUUUUUGUUGUCAUUAGAGCCUUGUGGUAGGUAGGUAAAAGCAAUCAAAUUGGUGGGUAAUUAUCAAUCAAUGGUUCCACCAAUUUUGCCUCUUGAUGUUGUAGCAAAGGGACAAGUUACUUUUUAAAAGAAAAAGAACAUGACAUCCUGUAUGAAAACAUUAGUGGAUUACAUAAGUUCAUGUCACAAAAAUAAAAGAAACCCACAAAUUUUUCAUGGAUAAUGUUCAGUAAACAGAAAUUAUAAGCUUUACUGGGAAUAAAAUAGAGAUUAAUUCGAGUAUAAUUGCAAAUGUUAAAAGUGUUAGGAUUUGGUUAAAUUUGUAGUUAAUCCUAGUUGGAUAAGAAUUAAUAUUUAAAUCUAUUGGAGUUAAAUUAAAAUUUAAAUAUUAAUUACAGUAUGAAUCUAACUAGAUUAGAAUAAAUAUUUAAAUCUAUUGGAGAUAAAUCAAUUAAGAAAAUUAUUGGAGUAGGAAUCUUUUUUCGACUAGGAUUCGUGUACGUUUUAGAGGAUGCAUUGUAAAAGCACGUUUUGGGAUGUUUUUGGAGUAGAGAGUACAGUGAGAGAGAAUGCUUUCUUAGGUGAAACCAUACCAGGAGAGAAAGUAAUGGUUGCGUGCACUAGGUGCAUGCGUGCAUGUGAGAGAGAAAAAGAAAGAGUUGUCUUCUUUGUGGGUUUAUAGAAGACGAGAGAAGGGUAGGAGAGAUUCAAGAAAGAGGGCUCGGAUUGUAGUUACUCUAUGCAGAAGAGUAGUCAGGUGUAAUCUUAUCUUAUUUAAUGAAUCUUAUUUUAUCCGCAUAUUUUAUGUUUUGAUUUUUCUUUCUUUUGUGAUUAUAUCAACUUUUGUUGAGGAGACGGAUUUAUGAUAAAAACUCGAUUCGACAACGCCUCCGUUGCGGAAUCCCAACAAUCGGUACUGGAUCAACAACAGUCGAUAUCGGAGCGAAUUGCGGAUUCACAAAAUCCGGUACCGGGGUGAGUACCGGAUUCCCAACAAAAAGUACAAAGUUUUAAGCAAUAAACAAAUAAAUGGUCCUAUUUGCGUCUCUUAAGCAUUACCAACUAACUGAUUGAUGCAAUCCUCAUUUGUUUCAACUAAGAAUCGACGUGGAAUCAUCAUUUUUUUCAAGAAAAUAUUGGAUGCUUAAGCAAUGCUCACUACUAAGCUUCAAACACCUAAUAAAGAGAAUUUUGUGAUCUCUAAUUAAUGAAUCACUUGAAGAUUUGUUGUUACAUACCAACAAAGUUAAGGUUUAUGCGGGCAUACCUAACAUCCCUUUAUCUUUACUUUUCUUUCUUCUUCUUACAUGUUAUCAUGGUGACACAUGACAUAAAAUGAAAAGUUGUGUGAUUACCUAAGAAGUCACAUUGCAAAACUCAUGGCAAUUUUUGUCUUUGUUUAGAUGAUUGGUUUUGAGACAAAUGCACAUGGACAAAAGUACCACAAGAAGAGAGAAAAAAAAAAAAAUCAUGGGACUAAAAUAUUGUGUUGAUUGUUUAAGCUAAACAAAACAGAGCUGCUUGUAUUUGCAAUAUCUCAUGAGAAAGAUAUACCAGCUACAGUUCUAAAAGUUAUAAGAUAUGUUUGUUUAUGGGCAACUGCUUUUUUUUUCAUAUUAGGUUUGUUUGAUCAUCUCUUAUUACUAAAAAAAGAAUAAGAUAAAGGCAAACGUUAUGCAUGCGUAAAUAUGAAAAACUCUUUUCAUGUAAGGUUCUACUUUGCUCCACUAUAAAUGUACUGUUGUUUGAUGAAAUGAUAUAUAAAUAGUGAUAUUAGAAGAAUAGCUAUAAUAUUAGAAUAUUUUAAAUAACUUAUCCGUAGUAGAAUCAAAAACACUUUGAAUACUUAAAAUCUCAUUUUACCCGUCGGGUUUUUGUGAGAUGUUCUAUUACUAUUUCUAAAAAUAAAAGUAAAAGUUGGACCAAACAGUUACUUUGUGUCCGCGAUUAUUUAGUUCAAUAAUUUAAAGAUUGCUUUCUCAGGCAUUUGGAAAAGUGAAGUACUUGAUUAGUACAGCACAUUUUUGAUAAAAAUGGCAUCUUAUCAACUAAAACAGUAAAAGUAGCUAAAUGCUUUGUAAGAGGCCACUACAUAUAAUGCACAUCUUUUUCAUGGUGGGUUAUUGAGUCAUUCCACUUAGGAACAAUUAGUCCAGUUUAAACUCUAAAAGUUUAAUUAAACCAGUUUGAACUUUUGAAGGUCACAUACAAAGCCUUGUAGAGCAAUUUUUCUUUUUCUUUUUUUUUAAAAAAAACUAUUAGAGCAGAGAGUAUUGAUUAAUUAUUAGUUAUAACAAAAAAAUAUAUGGUUGAUGAAAUAGUGAGGGAAAACUUCAAAAACCUCCUAUGUGGUUUCAUACAUUAUCGCUUUAGCACCCUGUGAUUUAAAGUGUAUCAAGUUAGUAUUCUGUGGUUUUUCACUUUAUCACUUUAGUACCAUGUGGUUUAAAGUGUAUCAAGUUAGUACCCUGUGGUUUUGCACUUUAUCAUUUUAGUACCUUGCGGUUUUAAUUUUGUAUCAAGCUAGUACCCUGUGAUUUUUAAAUCACAGGAUACUAAAGUGAUAAAGUGCGAAACCACAGGAUACUAAAGUGAUAAAGUGCAAAACCACAGGGUACUAACUUGAUACACUUUAAACCACAUGGUACUAAAGUGAUAAAGUGAUAAACCACAGGGUACUAACUUGAUAUAUUUUAAACCACAGAGUACUAAAGUGAAAAAAAAUGAAACCACAAAGGGGGUUUUUGAAGUUUUCCCUGCUAGGGAUUAGCUUGCGUGAAAUGUACGAAUCCGUCUCAAUCGGAUUAAUCACCAGUCAAUUAGUAGAAGAGAAGCUAUUUUCAAAUACAUGAUGCUCAAUCACCCUCACUAUAAGAAACCUCACCUCAAAAUUCAAAUCAAGGAGGAAAUUAUACAAAUUGUCGCUUCCCGGAAAUUUUAAAAAUUAAAGAAAACGGAUUAUCGUUUUCGUUUCGAAUAAGUGUAUAAAUAUUAAUAACUAUGGUAGCUCUUUUGAACAAAUCAUUUCACAUUAAAUAAAGCCAUCGAGAGAACAUAUGUAGUGUGAGUAUUUUUCUUAUAAUCACCUAAAUGAUCUUCUAGGCCUCAAAGGAAAAUCUGACCAGUUAAACCUACGGUCAAUCUGAAGAAAACUAUUAAAAAAAUUAAAUAGUUAUAUUCAAACAAUACUUUUUAUAUAAAUCAUAGAUUUCCAAUAAUCAUAUAAUUAAGUUUUUUUUUUUUUGAGAGAGAAAGAUAGCAUGCUACCCGCUUCGUUUAUUUCAUUUAAAAAUAAACUUAGCUGGAAAUAUGAAUCAAUUAAGAUUCGAACUUGGGUUUCGGGUACCAACCACCAAUCCCUUUUGCCACCUGCGCUAGGGACGGUCAAUAUAUAAUUAAGUUAAUCAUGCAAUUUUGUCCCCACAAUGUAUAUAUAAUUAUACAUUCAUGAGUUGUUCCAAAUAGUUCCUUUCCCUAUUUAAGAUUUCUCACAAGAGCCUCUUGAAACUGUUUCCAAACUGUGGGGUACACUCAAAUUAUUGUAACCACUCACCAAAAACCCUGAUCUAAUAAAUUGGGAGGAUAAGUAGGAAAACCAAUAUCCCCUAACAUUUAAUGGAUAUAUAUUGUUGUUUUGGGGCCACUCAAUAUUUACUUAUCCAUACAUAUAUAUGUCAUUCAAUUUUAGGAUGGAGGAGAGGAUACAAAUAUCAUGUGAGCUUUUAGGUGUGAGAUUACAAGAUAAGGGACUUUGGCUUAGGUAGGUAAAAUAGGUAAGAUGUGAUGUUAUGACAUAGAAUAUGGGCUUGGUCUAAUUUCUGAAAAAGUAAUUUCUGAAAAACUAAUUUUGGUUUGGAGAAGUGAUUUUGGUUAAAAGCUGUAGAGCGUUUGGCUGAGUUUAAAUAAAAGCGAUUUUUCUGAAGUGAUUUUUAAAAGCAGUUUGGCAAAAUAUUUUUGAUGUUUGCAUAAAUUAAUAUUUUAACUAAAUUUUAUUUCAAAAUAAUUUAAAAUUUAAAUUUAAAAUUGAAUUAAAAUUAAAAUUUGUAAAUUUCAAAAUUGUACAAAAUUUAAAAUUUGAUAUUGUAAUUUAAAAAAUAAUUUAAUAAUUUUAAAUUUUAAAUUUAAAAUUUAAAAUUUAAAAUUUAAAAUUUAAAUUUAAAAUUUAAAAUUUAAAAUUUAAAAUAAAAUUUAAAAUUAAAAUUUAAAAUUAAAAAUUUAAAAUUUAAAAUUUAAAAUUUAAAAAAAAUUUAAAAUUAAAAUUUAAAAUUUAAAAUUUAAAUUUAAAAAUAUAAAUAAUUGUGAAAUUUAAAAUAUAAAAUUUUAAUAUUAAAAAUGUAAAUUUAAAUUUAAAUUUCAAAGUUCAAAUUUAAAAUUUUAAAUUUAAAAUUUAAAUAAUUAUGAAAUUUAAAAUUUAAAAUUUAAAAUAAUUAUGAAAUUUAAAAUAUAAAAUUUAAAUUUGAAUAUUUAAAAUUUAAAAUUUAAAAUUUGUAUAUUUAAAAUUAAAAUUUGAAUAUUUAAAAUUUAAAUUUAAGAAUUUGAAAUUUAUAAUUUGAAGAUUAAAACUUGUAAUUUAAAAUUUAAAAUUUUUAAAUUUUUAAAUUUAAAUUUUAAAUCUAAAAUGUGAAAAUUUUAAAUUUUAUCUUAAGUUUUAAAUUUGAAAUUUGAAUUUUAAAAUUUGAAAAUUUAAAAUCUAAAAUUUGAGAUUUAAAAUUUGAAAUUAAAAUUUAAAAUUUAAAGUUUGAAAUCUAUUUUUUAAAUUUUAAAAUUUAAAAGUUAAAAUUUAAAAAUUCAAAAAUGAAAUGAAAUUAAAAUUUAAAAUUAAAUUUAAAUUUAAACAUUAAAUUAAAAUAAAAAUAAAAAUUUGAAAUUUCAGUCUAAAAUCAGAAUCAGAUUUCAAGAAGCAGUUUUUUUCUGCUUCUGAUUCUGGUUGCUUCAAAAUCAAUUUUCUGAUUCUGAAAAGCAGAAUCAGAUUUAAAAAAUAAGGUUGCCAAACACUCUAUUGAAUCAAAAAUCACUUUUCAACUCAAAUUACUUUUUAAAAGCUAGGCCAAACACCCCUAUGUUUCCAGUUACUAACUUUUUUUCUGCGCUUCAAAGAGAAUCAUAAUGCUAAUUAUUCUGCAUUGAGAAAGAGAAUUCUUCGUGAAAAUUUGAUUCUUUGCUAUUAGAAAAGUCGUGCUAUACAUCAAAUAUUAAUGCUAUGAAAGAGGUAAAGUCUUUGCUCGGAAAGAAAAAAUAAAAAAAGAAGAAAGAAAGGAGAGAGAAGAGGGAAAAUUUUAAAAAAAAUCAAAAGAAAUUUAAGCAGAAGGAUAAAUUUUAUAAGAUGUUAGAAGUUUAGAAGUGUAUGACUUAAAAUUUGGAGAGAUAUAUAGGUUAUUUACUUAUGUUCAAACUUUAGAAGGCGUUUCAACAUUUUUUCCUUUUUGCACAAAAAUUGAGAAAUAUAUCGAGAACUUCUCUCUAUUUCUAUGUUACUAUGUACAUGCAUGAUACGUUUUCAAAGAGUAAUCAAUAGAGUUUUAGAACUUGAGAGAGAACUGUUUUCUAAAACAUGGCACAGAUCACACAAGCAUAUGGUACUUUAGUAAUUAAACCAAGCUAAAACUGUGAUUUAGGUCAUGUUUACAGCUACUUAGAUCGACGACUGCAAUAGUCAAAUAAAUAAAUCAUGUUUAGAACUUUAUUAACAGGUAAAUACAGGUAUUUUAGUUAGUUGCAUGUCCUUAAUUAUUCAACUGUGUGUGUGGUUGUAACAUGCACUUUAAAUUUGUGUCGUACAAGGGUGCACAGUAGAUCCACUUUCUCAAACAGUAUGUUUCACUUUUGCAUACACAAAAGGCCAAUUUAUGUCACAUUACAUGGUACUAUAUAUAUAGUCUUGGUAUAUAAAACCACUUAGCCUCUAUCUUUCACAGCUUUGGUUGGUUGGUUGAAUUUUCUAGUUUGGAUAAAUGUUAUUUGAGGUGUCAUUAAGCCAUUAUCUUUGUAACAUGAGGUUAACUAACUCUAGUUAGUUGACAUAGAGUUAGUUAGGUUCUAGGGUUGAAAAGGUCAGGAGAAAGGAUAUGUGUUGGUCCCUUAUCACAAUUGUGCUUUUUCUCAUUUUGACAAGGGAUUGAUGCAUCAUGUGUUGUUGGGUGGUAGAGAAAGGAUCGACAUGGAGUAGUCCAAAUAUCUCAAUCCGUUAAUAUCAAUCAAUGCAGAGAUAAUGAGGUUUUAUAAGGGUUUGAUGGGCUUGGAAGCUUGUAAGACUAUGUAGGAAGAGGACAUUAUUAUAAGAAGUUAAAAUUUAACCAAAAAAAAAAAAAAGAACAAAAAGAACAAAAAAAAGAGAGGAAAGAAGUCGCGCCAUGUGGCAAAAGGCCUUCCCUUUUUUGUGGAGAGAGAGAGUGAGAGAUAGAAGUUGCGCCAUGUGGCGAAAAAGGGUUUCUUCUUCUUCUUUUUUUCCUUUUUUUUUUUUUUUUUUUUUUUUUGUGGAGAGAGAGAGAGAGUAAGAAGUAGUGCCAUUUGGCGAAAAGGGUGUCGCUUUUUUUUUUUGUGGAGAGAGAGAGAGAAACGUGGUAAGUUAUUAGUUUCGAACUUACGUUCUCAAGUACUAACCAUCAGGCAUUUAAUCAAUUAUACAAGCUACAAUCGGUGGAGUUGGGACAUAAAUGCAUGGAGAUGUGCUUCCUUUGUUUCAGAUGGUAUUGCUGUACUCACCAUCUUAAUUUCACUAGUAUGAUCUGCACGACAUGCUUUUUAAUAAUAAAAUUUGGUGAAAGUUUCUUACUAUAUGCAUUAACACUUUUAUUUACGAGCCUGAACAAAACCUAAGAAAUGCACUAAAAAUCAAAUCAACGAUCGAUAUUACCUUCUUUUUAAUCUUAAAAUAUUCUUAGGGUGCAUUUGGUUUGGAUUAUUCUGACAGAAUUACAAAUAAUUCUGUCAAUAUUACUGUGUUUGGUUCAUCCGUUAUGUAAUCAGGUCAGUAAUAUUGCAAGAUUAUACAGAAAAUAUUACCGAAAGGAGGGGUAUGCAAAUUGGAUUAGUAAAGGUGGUUAAUAUUGUAUGUUCUAUAAAAUUAUAAGUUACCCCUCCAACUAUCGAAAUCCUUUCAAUACAUCAUUUUAAAAGUUUUAAUUUAAAAUUUUGAAUUGUCAACUUUUAAAUUUUAAAAUUUGAAUUUUAAUUUUGAAUUUUCAAAUUUAAAAUUUAAAAUUUAAAAUUUUAAACUUCAAAUUUAAAAUUUUAGAUUUUAGAUUUUAAAUCUAAAAUUUAACUAAGGGCAAUUUUGAAAUAAACUAUGUUUUAGUGUCAAAAUUACUGAAUUUUAUAAACUGAACCAAAUAUAAUAAUAUUAUAAAUACUGCAAUCAAGUAGUACAUUAUUGUAUUAAACCAAACGCGUUAAUGUAGCAUCAGUAGUAAUCUUAUUUAAAAAUUCAAGAUAUCUGGAUAUAUCGAAAUACUCUGUAAUAUUAUAUACGCCAAACCAAACGCGCCCUUAAGAAACAAAUCAUAACUCUAACAAGCUAAGUUUAUUUCUAAAUGAAAUAAACGAAGCGGGUAGCGUGCUAUCUAUCUCCCUCAAAAAAAAAAGAAAAAAAACAAAAAUGAAGGAUAUUGAUUAGUUGGUUGGCCCUGCAAGCAUGUGCAUAUCUUGGUGGCUUCUCAAUCACUCCCACUAACAACCAAGUGUAAUACCCAUUGGAGACAAAUAGGGAUGCAAAUGGAUCCGGAUUGGUGGAGCUUCGCCCCGAUUCGUCCCGAAUGGGAUGGUAAGUGGGAACAAAAAAUAUAAAAAAAUAUAACCCGCCCUGAAUCCCCCCCGAUCCGCCAAGUAAAUAGAGCAGGAGGCGGGAGACUCUUUUCUUCCUUCAAUCUAUCCCGAUCCGUUAAAAAUUCGCUCCCGUCCCGAUCCGCCCCGAAUGGAGCGGUAAGUGGGAGCCAAAAAUAAAAUGAAAAGUAACCCCCCCCGAAUCCGCCCCGCCCAGAUAAAAAAUAGAGUGAAAGAUGGAGAAACUCUCCCGCCUCCGGAUCCAUCCCGUUUGCAUCCCUAGAGACAAAGUUAAGAAAAGAAAUAAGCAUGGGACAAACUCCAUAGGGCAAAAGACCACAGAGGAGGGAGUAUUUUGAUUUAAAAAUGUCUUCUCACCUCAUUUGGAGACAAAAAGUAAAAAAAAAAAUUGCAUAGCCAUGUUCAUUUCCUAUUUAUAUAUUCUCUUGGAAAAGCCUCAACACAUGGAACAAAGAGGAUAUGUUAGACAACUUGCCACUUGCAAUGUGUGUGUCCCCUUUCUUUCUACUAUUUUCUUUAUUCUAUUUUAAAAGUAUUUUUAAUAGGGCAUGGGGAAAGCAAAAAAAAUCAACCAACAAGUUACGUGUCACUUUGACUCUUUGAAUAGAACUUAUAUAUAUAGUAGAGUUACUAUACUAGUAUAGAGCCAUUCGUACUCAUAAGUUAUUUUCUGUUGGAAUUUUUGAAUCGACGAUCUACACCGCUAAACAUGAUCUAUAGUAUUUGAAACUUUUAGAAAAUAAAUUUCGUAAUUUUUCGAAAUCAUUAUAAAGUCUAUAUAUCAAGCCAGUAUAAAAUGAAUAGUCAAAAUCGAACGACAUCCUAAAAUGGAUGAUCGGAUCCUUCAAUUUAAGAUCAGAGUUAUUGAUUUUUAUUUAGAUAGUGAAUAGAAUUUUCUAUCAAAAGUUUAACUUAUUCCGACUCUUUUACACCUAGUAAACUAACAAAUAUCUCAUACCGGCCGUUAAAAAUUGUCAAUUUUUUAGCUUUUGAUCGUAAGGUAAAUGAUAUCAAAAAAUUAUAAAAUUUGAUUUCUAUAGAAGUUUUAAAUGUUCUAAAUGAUGUUUAACGGUAUAGAUCGUCGAUUCGGAAGCUCUGUCAUAAAAAAUAACUUAUGAGUACGAAGGCGAUCGUACUCAUAAAAAUAUAGUAACUGGACUCUCUCUCUCUCUCUCUCUCUCUCUCUCUCUCUUUAUUUCAAUUCAAUCCUAUAUCUUUGUUACGUUUAAUUUUGAUUUCGAUUUUGUUAGCUCAUCAGAUUCAUAUUUACUUUUUAGGCUGAAGAGGUCCAUCAUCCUCUUAUUUUUAAUUUUUUUAAAACUCUAAAUUACAUAAUUGGUUUUGGAUGAAGGUAAAAAAUAAGUAAAGAUGUUGUCCUAUAUAUACGGCUAUACCCUAAAAUUGAGAAAUAUUUAAUUACCGUUAGCAUGUGAUAACUCUAUUUUCGCGUAAACUCUCUAAGCGAUAACUCUGUCUUAUAAUUUCUAAUAUUUUAUAGAUCAUGCAAAAUAAGAGAACGAAUAAAUUGUGAAGGAUUAUUAGAAGAUGUGACAGGUGAUACAAUUUUUCAUCAGCUAAAGCCCGUUUGUUUUGGUGUAAGUGGAGUGAUGGAACUCAAGUUCCAUCACUUCCAUUAUUUGUUUUGGUGUAAGUGAAAAUUAUAAUGUAACUCAAGUUAUGUUAGAGCUCCACUUCACCUACUCUCGACUUCCGGCUCUAAAGUACCGAACUCGACUUCCACCACACUCAACCUUUUCUAAACAAUUUAUUAAACAGUAAAACCUAAACUCUACUUUCUUUAUAAUGGGUUAGAAUUACCUUAUUUAUAAUAAAUUAAGAUUAUCUUUAAAUAAUAAUAAAAAAUUUAAUUAUAUAAUAGGUUAAAUUUUAUAGUAAUAAAUUUAUUACUAUAUUUAGGAGAUAAUGGGAUCCACUUACUUACAUCAAAACAAACAACGGAACUCAAAAAACUAAUUUUACCAACACCAAGUUACAUCAAAACAAACAGCAGAAGUGAUUGAAUUUAACUUUCAGUGAUACGAGUUACGUCAAAACAAACAACAGAAAAAUAAUCACACUUCAGGAAAACUCAAACACCACUACACUUGACUUACGUUGAAUCUACAAAUUCGUCAAUCCAAACGCCCAAGCAGAUAAAAAUGCAUUUUCUAUUAUUUCCAUCCUAGUGAAGAGAAAAGAAAUAUAAAUAGCAUGCAUUAUAGGGUACCACUUGCACAUUAUAUAUAUAAAUAUAUAUAUAUAGGAAGAAGAGUGUAUCUAAGCUAAAGUACAAGUGCAUAUGAUUCUUAGAAAAAUAUCCAAAGAAUUAAGAAUAUGAAUAAGUAUCCUUUAGUAGAAUAAGAAUAUUUGGGAUAUCCCUGUUCCUAGCUAGUGGGUGUUUGUUUGGAUAAUGGAGAUAUUUUAGCAAUGUCACCAUGAUAUAAAAAAUAAUAAACUAAUGCAUUGGAGUAAGUUUAGAGAAACAACAUAAAAUAAUGCAGCUAUAACUUUCAUAUAUAUAUAUAUACCACUUCAAGAUUCAUGUUAUCACUUAUUGAGAAUAAUAAAAGCUAAAUUGUAUGUAGAUUUCUCCUCAAAUAUAUAUGGGGUAUUUUGAGUAUUUCUUUGCCUUUUAUAUUUUUGAGAAUUGAUUGACUUUGUGAGUGAUAAAUUUUAUUAAAUUCAUUGCUAAGAUUUUUAAUCAAAUACAACUAAAAAAAAUAAAAGUCUAAGGCUAAAAUAACUCAAAUAAGAGAAAAAUAGAAGCUGUUGGGAUGCUAAUUAGAAAAAAAAAUAUAAGUCCAAUUUCAAAAUGUAGAAUAGUCAGGGAGGCAUUAAUAUAUUAUUUUUUUCCCUUUUCAAAGCUAACAAUCUCAUGAUCUCCAACAUAAAUAUUUGGAUGUCGGAAUAAAUAUCUAACAAUAAUUAGGGUUGAAAGUUAGGAGUUUAAUAUUUCCACCUUGAAAAUAAUGUUGGGAUUCAUGACUUGUUAUAAUAGUAUACUUGAAAAAUCUUAAAAUUUACGACUUGUUAAAAUAGUAUAUUUUACUUAUAAGAUGAUUUAUUCUAUUGUAGAAAAAAUGCUAAAUUAUAAAAAGUUUCAUUACACUUUACGUUCGAUCUCAAUUAUCCAUGUACUAAAAUUGCAUCAAUUAUUACCCUACAUUUUGGCAUAAUUUCAAAUAGAUUAAAAAUAUUUAAAAAUUCGGCAAAUUAAGAUAUAAAACUUUACUAAAACGAGUUGAUCUAUUAUAUUAUUCCACAUCUCAAAAUAUAUGCCAUUUCCAAUUCAAAACAUAUAAAAAAAUUUAGAUAAAUAAGAUCUUUUCUUUUGCUAAUGCUGUCAAAAUUGAUAGUUUACCGAGCAGUUUAUUAAAUUUGUACGAUCAAUUGUAUUGCUUAUCGAUAACUUUAUCAGUAAAUCUAUUUUUACAAAAUUUUACAAUUGAAUUUAAUAAUUACUCUAAAUUUAAAUUGCUAGACUAUAAUAAAAAAAGGAUAAUACCUAAUACGUCCUUUGAAACUUUAAAAUAUUUUAUUUAUUUAUAGAGAAUCAAAAUAUUUUUAUUAAUUUUAAAAAUUUCUUCUCAAAAUUUAUUAAAUAAAAUUAAAUUUUUAAAAAAUAUUUUAAUACUUUUAGAAUAAAUUAAAAAAUUGUAAAUAAUGAUUUACAUAAUUUUUUAAAAUUUUUAAUAUAGAAGGGUGAUUAAAAGAAGGGAUUUUGAACUCUCUGAACGUCUAUAUUUUGGUAUUCUGUUUUGUUCAGCUUCUUGUCAUUUUUUACUAAUGAAAAUUUAGUUUUUCUUUGAAAAAAAAAAGAGAAAAAAGAAGAAGAAGAAGGGAAGUGCUUUUCCAAUUAAAAAGGAACUAAUGCGGCAUCUAGCCUUAUUGAGAAAAAAAAUUUCCAAUCUAGCCUUCUUCUUAAAAAAAAUUCCUAAUCUAGUCUUUUUUUGAUGGAUUAGAAAAUAAAAAUGACUUAAGAGCAUAUUUAUAUGUUAAUUAGGAGAGAGAAAAAUUUUCUCUCUCUUUCCUCUCAAUUAAUUCUUAUAAUAAUAACAAUAAUUAAAAAUUAAUAUUUAAUAUCAUUAUUAUUGAAUGAUAAUUUUAUUAUUAUUAUUAUUAUUACUAGUAUUUAGUACAAGUGGUAAAUCACUUGGUGGUCGGUAUUUGAAGUUCUGAGUUUGAAUUAUUAUUAUUCCAGCUAAAUUUAUUUCUAAAAAAAAUAAAUGAAGAGGAUAGCAUCAUGCUAUCUUUCUGAAAAAAAAUAUUAAAUAAUAAUAAUAAUAAUACUAAUUAUUAAAUAUUAAUUUUUAAUAAAUAAUAUUAUAACAAAAAUUAAUUAUUUUUAAAUAUUAGUAGGGUUGGGAGGAGAGAGAGAAAAAAAUUUCUCUCUCCUAGUUAGCAUAUAAAUACUAUUAAAGUUAUCUUUUAUUUUCUAAUUAUUAAAAGAAGGGUAGGUUAGAAAUUUUUUUUAAAAGAUGGCUAGGUUGGGAAUUUUUUUUUCUAAUAAGGCUGUACAUGACAUUAGUUCAUUAAAGGCAGCGUUUGGUUAGGAAAUAGGGAUAGAAAUAGGCCCUUAUCCCCCACUUUAUACCCAAACGUUAAUUUUUUAUCCGAUAAUAGUAGUUCUCGGUUAUCCCCACCAAUACCUUCAUUUUCUAUAUAAAAUUACUUAAAAUUGUUCUUAUCCUCGGGAACAACCCAAUCUUCAUCCAAACACUAUUUUUUUUAUCCUCAUACUUGUAUUUAUUCUUGUAAUAGUUAAUUCUUGCUUAUACCUGGACCAAACGGUGCCUAAAAAGUUGGAAAUCGAUUUUCCCAUGCAGAAAAAUUGGGGCCUCGUGAGCAACGCCUCCGUAAACUUUUCCUGUUCCCGAGGUCAUCGUGGUCACUGUAACGCAAUAGAGAAAAUAAGUGCACGGACCUAUCAGAUGUAACCACUUAUAUAUCGUACGGUCAAAAUUCAUGACUCCCCCCGACCUUUUUCUCCCCCCCCGAAGUGUACGUAGUACUCUUGUGAAAACGAAUAAACCCGGAAUAUGCUCCAUUCCACAGAAUCCGCACCACAAUGAAGGCCCCCAUGAAAGGUCUAGUAGUCCCAUUGUAGCUUGUGCGUACACUCAAGGGAUAGAUUCUGUAUAAACAUAUUAAAAUAGUAAUAACUACAUUAAUAAAAAAUAUAAAAAAAUAAAAUUAUAAGAAUAAUAGUAAAUUAUAUUUCUAAUAACAGUGGCAUUUAAUCCCGGGUGGUAUGUGAUGUAUCAUAAAUUCGAUUCUAAUUCUGUAAACCAAUAUUCCAAUAGUAAGACAUUUAUUAUAUUAUGAAUUGGGAACCCACCUAGGGAUGCCAAUGGGUUGGGUUUGGAUGGAAUUUUUAAAAAUCCGAAUUCGAAUCUGAAACCAAAUUAAAACCAGUACUCGGACCUGAAUCUGGCGGAUUUUAAAAAUUCAUACCAAUAUCCAUACAGGACCAAAAAUCUGAAAUCUGAACCCGGACCGGACAGGUUUUAAAAAUCCAUACCUUUGAAUGAAGAUCUAAGAGAUAAAAAUUAUUAUAUAUUUUAUAUAUUAUAUAAAUAAAUAAAAUAAAGUAUGUAUAUAUAUAAUUUAUUCGGGUUCGGGUUCGAAUCGGAUAAAUACAAAAUCCAUAUCUGUAUCCAUAUCCGUCGAAUUUUUAUUUUCUAUCCCAUAACCGAAUCCAUACUCGUUUAGCUCCAGUAAACCCGUCCCGUUCGGAUUCGGGUUCGGAUAAUAUUUCGGAUAUCCAUACCCAUUGACAUCCCUAAACCCACCAAAGCCUCCCUGCGUUUGGCGGGGAGCUUUGGUGAGUCCCACCUUUUAUUUUAUUUUUUAUUUUUUUGCCUCUCACUGACAUACACUCUCUCUCUCUCUCUCUCUUAUUUUUUUUAUUUUUUUUCUCUCAAUAUUUUUUUUUAUUUUUUCCUAGGACAAUUCUUUUUUUAUUUUUACUAUAGAUAUAUAACAAAAUUAAAAUUUUAUCUAAUUUGGAACUCAAAGAAGGCCUCCCUUAUUAUGGGAUUGUGGGGUCCACAAAUUUUUUUGAGAUUUUUUUAGGAUUAAUUGAAUAGUGUUGCCCAAACUUUCCACCAUUUUUUUUUGGUUCCUAUUUUUUUUUUUUUUACAAUUAAGUUUUCAAACAUUUUAAUUUCAUUGUGAUAAAAUAGCAAUCGUUAAAAAAUAUUUUAUAAUUAUCGAAAUUAUCAUGUUAUCGCCUAUUUAAUCUUUUUUUUCAUGUCAAUUUUGAUUCUUAAAUUUUUUAUGCUUUUCACUUUAGUUCCUAAAAUAUAUAUGAAUUGGAAGUCCUAAAAAAGGUCUCUCCUUAUUUUGAAGGGUUAUGGGGCCCACACAAUUUUUUAAAAAAUUAUUCAUACCAAUUUUGAUAUAAAUAAUGUGAAACUUCAAAUGAAUGUCUGGAUGUAUGCGCAGCUUAGCUAUAUAUUAUUAGUAUAUUACAAGCAACUUAGGUAUAAACAAUAUUUUUUGACAAAAUAAAAUUAUCUAAAAUUCAAGUGGAGAAUUUAUUAUCCGUCAAUUUAUGUAUGUUAUCUCAUAUAUAACAUCCUUCAAAUAUUUUUAGAAAGAAAUAUAUUUUAAUUUAAUUCUUUUUCUUUAAUUUUAAAUUAUUCAAUAAUGAAAUAAAUAAUAUUAAAAAAUAUUAAUACAUAAUAAAAAAAAAUUGAUGUUAAUAGUUGUAAUAAUUUACUGUUAUAUUAUUUUUCCGUUGCAGUGCGCCCGCGGCAUCGCACGGGGCGCUUAACUAGUAUACUUAAUUGGUGCAGAUGCUUGGGUGAAAUGUCAGAUUAGUAUUCAGAGAUAGGAUCGAUAACCCAAUAGUAAGAUACAUUGUGACAUUACAUUUUAAAAUUCAAUAUAGUUCUAUAUAUGAGAUAUAUUAAGAUAUAAUAAGAUUAGAUUUGCAAUAGUAUUUAAAUAGUGAUUAAGUUCAAAAAAUUAAGAGGAUUAGACUUACGAGAACUAGUUCCUCUGGGAAGGCCCUUGUCAAACUAUUAUUUGAUUUGUAUAGAUUACGAGGGUGGAAUAUGAGAUUAAUAUUUGAUACAUUCCAAAUAGAUACGAGGUCCAAAUUUAGUAUGUAAUUUGUUGAAUAUGUUAUGUAACACUUCAAUGGAUAACAAAUAAAUUAAUUAAUAUUUGUUAAUGAAAUUAAUGAAAAAUUACGAAGAUACUCAGAGUAUUUUAAAGAUAUUAUUUGUAAUGAAAAACACAGUAGAUAUACUCCAUCUCUUUGGAAGUACAGAGGCAGCAAAUACUAAGCCCCGUAUUUUACUCGUAUUUUCUUCGUAUUUACAUCACAGCGAGAAACGCCAAAAUAAAACUCUAUCUUCAGAGCACCGUAUUCACAAGCGCAAGCGCUGGCAAAAUAGUAAAACCAAAACGACAACAGUAGUAACCCAAAACCCAAAAACAGAGAGUUAAUACGGCGUAUAUACGGCUUAUGUACGGUAGUCAUACGUCGUCUUCUUCCUCUCCCUCUUCCUCCUCUUCAGAUCGCGUUCUCGCUCAGUCCCCCUCCACUCAUUAUCCACGGAUGCCCUAAAAAAACCAAGUUAUAAAAGGAAAAAAAUUAUUAGAAACCGAAAAUAGGGGAAAUUGUGGUAAAUCCACAUUUGGGGUAGUUAUUGGGUACGCUUAGCCCGGGGAUCCGAUCCCGAUGAGAUCGGAAACCCUAGGCGAGCGAGAGCGAGAGAGAGAGAGAGAGAGAGAGAGAGAGAGAGGGGAUGGAUGGGGUUCGUUUGCUUACUGAGGACUUGGUCGGCGGAGAACCUUCUGGAAGGGUCCUUGCACAUCAUGCGGCGCAUCAGGUCCUUGGCGCCCGAGGAGACCCCGGCGAAGAGCCUCGUCGGAAACCUAAGGUUCCCCCGCCGCACCGCCGCGAAGAUCUCCUCCGCCGUGUCCCCCCCGAACGGCGCCGCGGCGCCCCCGGUGAGCAUCACGUACAUCACCACCCCCAGGCUCCACACGUCCACCUUCUCCCCGUACUCCAUCCCCGCCACCACCUCCGGCGCCACGUAGUACGGCGUCCCCACCAGCCCCGCCAUCGCCCCCGCCCCUCCCUCGCCGGGGACGAAGCACGCGGCCGAUCCGAAGUCGGCGAGGCGGGCGCGCCGCCCCGCGCCGUCGAGGAGGAUGUUGUCGGGCUUGACGUCGCGGUGCGCCACCCCUCGGAAGUGGCACGCGGCCAGCGCCGCCGCGAUCUGCGCCACCACCGCCGCCGCCUCCGGCUCCGUCGCCGGCUCCCCACGCCGCUCCCGGAUCCAGUCGAAGAGGUCGGGCCCCUCGCAGAGCUNACCCCUCGGCGGUGGCAAGCGGCCAGCGCCGCCGCGAUCUGCGCCACCACCGCCGCCGCCUCCGGCUCCGUCGCCGGCUCCCCACGCCGCUCCCGGAUCCAGUCGAAGAGGUCGGGCCCCUCGCAGAGCUCCAUCACGACGUGGAUCCACCCCUCGUCCUCGUACACCGCUCGCACCCCCACCACCCCGGGGUUCCCCGCCCCCGCGAGCUGCGCCACCUUCGCCUCCACCCCCGCCCCCUCCCGGUCCACCGCGUCCAUGAGCCCCCCCUUCUCCACCGACUUCACCGCGUACGCCUCCCCCGUCGCCCUCUCCAUGCACCUCCUCACCACCCCGAACCUCCCCCGCCCUAUCUCCUCCCCGAUCUCGUACUCCCUCCUCAACUCCUCACUCAUCUUUUUCUCCUUUUUUUAUAGCCACGGGACUCGAAAAGGGUUCGACCCAGGAAUAUUCCCUUCCGCAUGGACGGCCCAGAUCUCCCCACCCCCGAUCGAACGGUUCCUUCUCCUUUCCCACUCCUAGUCCGAAUCCUCCCUUCAAUUCCCACAUUUACCCUCCCUUCAAGCGCACGAGAAUUCAUUAACCGCGGGGGUACAACCGUCAAAUUGUUUAAUUCGCUCGCAAGCGUGGUAGUGGGUUUUAUUAGUUUGUUAUUAGAGUUAGGAGCGGGGAAAGCAACGAAUCACGGCCGUUAGUUUAGGGGCUAGCCGAUUUGGACGGCUGCGAAACUGCGGGUGCCUAAGGAGAUAACGGCCUUCGGAGAGAGUAACGGACCGUUUCCGGUAACAGCGCGGCGCGUGAGACCCCUCCAUCCACCGUUCAUCAUUGCUUUAAGAGUCGCGCCAGUCACGUGAUUACCGCUCGGGGACCACCCCUACCAAACUGUGGUUCGUGGGGACCGUUUCCGGACGAGGGACGUACACUGUUAGCGUAAAAGGAACGAAUCGCGACGCGCCACUUAGAAAAUCGCACUUUUUCACCACCAGUAAAAAUUGGACACGUGUAUGAGACAGGACAACGUGACAUGUUCCCUCCCCCCCCCUUUUUUUUUAUUUUUGGGGACCCCCUCUCUCCCCUCCUCUUUUCCCUUUAUUCAACGAAGAGGAAGUAACGGCGAAACCCGAACUUUAAAGCACCUGAUAAUAUGUGUCGCAUAUGCCAUUUAGACCGAUACGUUUCGUGUCUUAUUUGCUAAUCUGAUAAGCUAUAAUCAGACCACCCAUGCGUAUCAACUUCGCCCCUACUAUUGUUGAAAAUUGCCGUUUGACCUUAGCGAAUUAUAUAUUAGGUACAUCCAAAUAUACUAUUUUCUAAGUAUAGGAAUCAAUUAAUUAAUUAACUACUCAAUUAGUACGACUUAUUUAUUGACUAAUAGUGACAAUUGGGAGUGCGAAUUUUUUAACUUGAAUUAUUCAUAAUUUUAUAGUCCUAUACCCGCCUGAGGCCAUGCUUCAAAAUUAAGUAUUCUGAAUUACUGUCAUCGUCAUCAGCAUCAUAAUAAAAUAAAUAAUUAUGAUAGCGUAAUUGUUCAGGCGUGACUCUUGUUGCACACAGUUCAAACAUGAGGUUUCGUAUUUCUUUUAAUAUUUUUUUAAUACAUUAUUAGUGGCGAUUCGUUCGGUCGAACAUUGCCACGCCAUCGAAGGAGUCUAUUUUCACCAGCAUCAUCUUUUAAGCUUGAGGAAAAUCUAGUUAGGAACUAGAACUAUGAUUAUUUAAUCGCAGCAUCGAUUAUUAUACAUGUUGAUAAUCGCAUCACGGCAAUCGUAGUUGAAGUUAAGAGAUUCUUCAAACUAUCCAAAUAGCUUCUAGUACAGCUAAGAAGGGAGAGCGCACAAAAUCAAUGGUCAAAUCAGGUAUAAAUUUAUUAAGUGUACUCCAAGAUACUAGCUAUUUGAGGACAUUAGAAUGUUUCAUAAGUCUAACAACUUGGUUUUUUGGGAGUGUUUUUCUCCCUUUCCCCUGUUUUUCAACUUAUAACUUUGACACUAAAUGUGUCUCUUAAUGUGCCAUAUAGGCUUAGGAUGACAUUUGCACAUGCGUUAUCAGUUCGAAUAUACGCAGUUGUUGGCGCUACGGUGCCCAAUUUGGUUGAGUGCAAUUGGACUCUCUCAAUGGCUGCGAGAGUGUCCUCGCAGUCCGCAAUUAAUAUGGCAAUUGAAGAAGACCUAGAGGCAGUAGUAAUUUUGACCUGCAAUGCAUGCAAUAAAGCCGACUUUAUCUAGUGCAGCUGGUUAAGAACUUGAUAAUUAGCAUCAGUUCUUUGUUCAGUUGUUUUUAUAAAAAGAAAUUUAUAUCAAAAAAAAAAAAAGAAAAGUCGGCUUGUUGAUUUUAGAUUAAGGAGUUCCUUGUACAAAUUUUCUAUAUCCAAGGAGCUCCUUGGACAAUUCUUUUUUUUUUUUUUUUAAUCAAUUGGUACCUUUGUUAGUUUAAGGCCCCCCAAAAAUUAUUAGACAUGGGUUAGCCUCUGUUAGCACACAAUGUAUAUUGCAUAAUAUGUUGGAGCACCCAUGAUGUAGCCUGUUGUAGAGGAGUUUUUGAGUUUAUUAAUAUUUGUUUCCCUAUAAAUAGAUUUUUUUUUUUUUUUUUAUUUCUCCCUCUCUCUCUCUCUCUCUCUCUCUGUGUUCAUUUUUAAUCAAUUGGUUUUUAUUGGUGCAUCAUUUCCUUCUUCCCUAAGCUUAGUGAUGACAUGUUUAGUAUAUGUUGAUGUAAAAUUCAAAAUCUCUCAAUUUAUUUUACUAAUUAUCUUUUCUAAUUAUUUAUUUUUUCCGGACGUUACGAUCAUGAAGAUCGUGCGCUGCCGUUCCGCCCGCGAGUCCGUUCCACGCGCGCGAGCGCGCGUCCGUUCCGCGGAUGAUGCGUGAUGCUUCCAACGUCUUUUUAUUUUUUGGAAUGUUGAAGUGACGUUCACAUGGUUGUAUAUAUACAGAGGGUGUACCUUUGUUAAUUAACUUGAAAAAUAGAGAAGAAACAAAAUACUGUUUGAAGCUAAAUCAUUUGAAGAUUUGUUUAUAUUUUGUUGUUCUUUUAUUAUCGGGUGUUGAAAGAGUCUCCGUCAAUCUUCUUCACGAUCGUGCUCGCAGGAGGAGGAAUUCCGGUCGUAUCUUGGGGUGUUGUUCCCGGUUAAUCCCGCACGUAAAGACGGGAAUACGCCUUAGGGCAGUGCCUUGCACGCUUCCGGAUCAAUUAAGUAUUUAUUUGGAUUUAGCGAUCAUCUGUAAGUUGAUUUAUUUAUUUUCAUAAUAAAAAUUUAGUUAAAUUUAAAUCACAAUCAGAUUUCUGUGCGGUAUUUGUUCUAACAGUAUCAAGGACUAUCUAACUUUAUUAGGCAAAACAGAGGAAGGGCGAAAGCGAUUGAAAUAUGCAUUCAUACCUGAAAUUUUAUUAGACUUUACAUCCUAUAGAAAAGGGCCCAUGAAUUAGCUUUUUGGGCAAAUAAGCCUUCAGGCCAAAAAAACCAAUUUGAAACUUCCACUUUUAGUGUGAAGUGGGCUUUACGUCACGGACUUUGUGAAUUCGCUUGCCAAAGUCCGUGCGGCGCCCUCUUUUCUGCUCGAAAAUGAGUAAGCCUACUUCAUUCUUUCUACUCUGAAACUCCGCACCCUCAAGGACUAAGUGCAAGAAAAAGAAUGCGAGAAAGUGUGAUAGAGGUUCCGCAAAAACAAUGUACUCCACUACUUAUAAACAGAAAUUACAUGCUCUCUCUACUCGAUCUUACUCUCUUGGCCUUAGUCAACUCACCUAUUUAUACACUUCAGAUAUAUUAAACUUGGCUCUUAUAAUUAAUUAUUAUAAGAUGAACCGAAGGUUUGGCCCAUGAUCUUUGAAUUUUUGUUGACAGUAAUGGAGCUUCUAAAUCCAGCACAACCUCCUAUAAUGGCUACUGGUUUGGUGCAUUGUUAGUUAAUUCGGAUUCGGCAAAAAUUCGGUACGAAUAUAAUUCAGAUAAAAUUUGUCUUCUAAUUUUUAAAUUCGUUGAAAAAUACGGCAAAAAAACGGAUUCGCUAUUUAUUCGGAUACAUGAUUUAUACGGAUAUUAUAUGUUCACCAAUUAAAAAUUCGGGAUAAAAAAUUCGACUAUUAAAUUACUUUUUUUUUCUCUCAAAAUUUAUGCUAUUAGCAUAACUUCUCAUAUUUCUUAAGAAUAUAAGAAUAAAGAGCUACAAAAUUAAGCUAAUUAAGUAAAAAAAAUAGCAAACUAUAUUAUGCCUUAAAAUAAAUAAAUAAAUAAGCAAAUAAGAGAUUAAGAUAGUCUAUAAGAGAUUAAAUUUUUUUGAUCCAGUAAUUUUUUUUGGGGGGAUUCCGAAAGGUUUUUUUUUUUUUUUUUUCUGUUUUGGUUGUAAAGGGUUUUUUUUUUCUCCUUUUUUCUGUUUUGGGCGGGCCGCGCGGCCCGUGGCCUGCGAGCGCAAGCAAGCCGCGAGGCCCGUGAGCACGGGCAGGAGCGUAAGCGUGGGUGCGAGAGCGGGUGCGAGCGGCGAGCGGCGAGCCGAAUUUUUGGCCGAAUAAUUCGGCCAUCGCGAAUUAUUUGCGAAUGAGUAUUUUUUGACCAAAAAAACGCGUUUUUUUUCCAAAUUUUUCAGAAAAAUACGAGUUCGGCCGUUUAAUUCGGUUCUUCAAAAAUUCGCGAAUAAUUCGCGAAUGAACUAACAUAGGUUUGGUGUCCCGUUGGCUACUCACUUAGCGGAAUUUUGGCUGGGUUGAAAUUUUUCUAAGUUCCGGACGUUUAUCGCCCUUCACUAGGCCAUACAAAAAACCUGGAAACUUGGAGGUGCUAUAGCAGUGUCUUCUUAAAUAAGUUAUCUUGGAACCAAAAAAGAAAAAUAAAAGAAAAAUUAAAAAAAAAAACUUCUUACUGUUUGGUACUUGAUUGGCUAUCCUGUGAGGGAUAAAGUGGUUGCUUAUCUAUCUUCUUAUAUAUAUUGUAACAUUUGCUAGUUUUAUUUUGCACAAAAUUCUUUACCUCGUGCAACAUUUUAGUUUGAUUUAGAUAGUUGCAUUAUAUUAUAUUGUUUUUUGGAUUGAUCGCACACUCUCCGAAUAGUGAUUGUGUAGGUAUACGAGUUUACGUUGUAUAUUAUUUUACUUUUUUAAUGAACUACGUAGAGACCCAACCGUCCCUAGAGCAAGUGGCAAAGGACUUGGUAGUUGGUACCUGAGACCCAAGUUCAAACCCUAGUUGAUUCAAAUUUCCAGCUAAGUUUAUUUCUAAAUGAAAUAAACGAAGCGGGAACUACGUAGAGAAUCACUCAAUGUUCUAAAUGGUCAUAUGAUGCAUUAGCAAUAACCUUUUUUAAAUUUUAAAUUAGCUUAAAAGGAAUGUUUGACGAUGAUUAUAAAUCUAUAAUUUGAUUUUUUUUUUAUGGUGAUUGGUGAAUUGUGAGAGCCAUUAAUCACAAUAUUAUUAUUUUUACAAUCAUUGAUAAAUAUUCAUGAAUUUUCAGCUUAAUGAAUAAUUUUAUUCAUUCACUAACUAACAAGAAAAUUGCAAGAAAAAAAUAAUUCUAAUUCAAUACAUUGGUUAUCCAAAUGGACCAAGAUUUAUGUGGAUUACUUUGAAUCCAAAUGAAUGACAUGUUAUAUUUUUAGCCUUUGCUUCAUUAAAGAUAAAAAAGACAUGAGAUUAGACAUAAAUAUUUAUUUUUUUUUUUUUUUUUUUUAGUUUUACAUGUAUAUUUUACUUUUACUAACCAAAGCACUAGAUUUCCCCUUUUUCUUAAUUCAAAGUUUUCUAGAAUUUUACUAGAUUCUAUUUAUAUUUAUAAAAAAAAUAAAUAUGAGUCCAGAGGCACGGCGCGGCCCACAUCAUAUGCGGGCCAUGUGGGCUAUGUUGGGCUAAUCUGUGGGCCGUGAGGACCGUGCCGCGUUGGCCCUUAAGCCGUCAACGGGCCAUCUUUUAUGGCCCCGGCCGUGCCGGACCGACCUGCGAUCGUCCGACACGUGUAUUUAGGAUGGUUAGGGAGUGAGAUCUAGAGAAGAGAAAUUGAGGUAUUUAGGAUGGUUAGGGAGUGAGAGAGAGAAGAGAAAUUGAAAAGAAAUUGGGUAUCUCAAUUUUUCUUCUUUUUAAAUUUCUCUCUAAUUUCUCUUCUCUCUCAUCCUAACCACCCAUCAAAUUGAUAGAUAAUUAGAAAGUUGGGAGCACAAGACCUACUGUGCUCCUAAUAAAAGCACAGUAGCCCUACUCUCUUUCUCUCUCUCUGUCUCUCUCUGUCUCUCUCUUUAUAUAUAUAACCGAAAAAAUUGCAAUCUUUCGAAUUACCAUUUUGAUCAUUAGAUCAAAAGUCAAUAAUAUUGGUUACUUGUGAGACGUCCCAUUGUGCAUGAUCCAAAAGUCGUUAGGAUUGAUUCAAUAGGCAAAAAUAUUAGGGAAAACUUCAAAAACCUCCCCUGUGGUUUCGUGCAUUCUCACUUUGCUACCCUGUGGUUUAAAACGUAUCAAUUUACCCCCCUGUGGUUUCAUUUUUAUCUUUUCGGAAGCUUUUUCGUUAAUAUUUCGUUAAAUUAUAUACAAAAAACUUCAGAUAACCAUCUAUAUUUAUCGAAUAGUCACUUUAGUAUCCUUUAAUUUUAACUUUGUCACUGAUUUAAAAAAAUAAUAAUAAUAAAAUUGAUAACAAAAAGAUAAAAACGAAACCACAGGGGGGCAAAUUGAUACGUUUUAAACCACAGGGUAGCAAAGUGAGAAUGCACGAAACCANAUAUAUAUUAUAUAAAUUUUUACUAUUUAAAUUUUAGGCAAAUCCAAAGAUAAAAAAAUCUAUGUUAAUGUGUAAAUUUUAUUUCUUAAAUUAAAUUAAAAUUAUUUGUUUUUUUAAUUUUUUAUAUUAUAAUAAUAAUUUACUGUUUGUCAGCUUGUUUAGUAAUAAAUGAAUCAAAAAUAAACUAUCAAUAUAUAAUGUAUAAAUGAGCCAGUUCAUGUUCGGCUUGUACGUUUGCUCGUGUGGGGCUCACGAACCUCAUUGUAACAAGUGGAAUCUAGGACACGAGAAAAGCACACACAAAUAAUUAUGGCUUAACUUUUUUCUUUUUGCUGCCCCUUUUUUUUUUUUUUUUUUUUUUUUUUUUUUUUUUUUUUUAAACCUUUGUGAUCCGUAUGGGUGCAAAUGUACACUUUUAUUCCACGCAACAAUGACAAAGUGUUUUUUGUCGACAUCCCAUUAAUGACUCCUUUGUGGGAUCUUUCUCUCUGUGGAACACGUUCUACUUUAAAACCCCCAUGAAUUUUUUGCUUCACAACCUUUGUGCUUGACUCGCCAUUUAUUCUGUUCACUCUCUAGAAGGUCUUUGCAAUAAUUUUUACUUGUUUCAUUUGUACACGCGUGGACUCGUAGACUCGCUUCGUAUUUUAGAUUAAGCUGAAUUGAAUAAGCAUAAAGAUAAUAUCACAUAAUAAUAUUCAACUCAGAUAUGUCUGAAAAAAUUUAAUGCGGUUCUCUGCAUCCGUCAUAUCGUUUUUACAAAAUUAUUAUACGCAUUUGAAAUCUCAAAGUUAUUUGACAUUUUUUAAUCUCCGAUGUUGAUUUCUCGCACGUUCUGUUUACUCAAAAUGAUGUAGGUGUCGAAUUGACGUUAUAUGUGCAGUCGCUUUAAAUUAUGAUGUUAAGUUCAACUUUAUGUACCAUUUUCGAGUAAUACUAAAAAUUCAAAAACACGGGCUUAGCAUUUUUGAAUUAAUAGUCAAUUGUGUUGAUUCUAAUAAACAUAAUAAAAUUAAAGAAUCUUUAAAUAGUAUACUUCAAAGUUUAAAGACCUAGUUCUACACCAAAGUCAUCGAAGAAUAAUCGUUAGCAUCAGCAUAAAAAUUACUUUUAAGAGAAUAAGAACUAGAAUAAAAUAAUUUUCAUUAAAAUUCGGGGAAGCUAACAAAAUUGCAAUUUACCUUUGUACCAAUAAGUAACCAAAGUAUCCAAGCAAAUUAAUUCCUUUAUACUAAGAAAACAAAUGACUCAUGAAUUCUAUUUUUUUAUUAAACAAUACAAAGCAAUCAUUGCUUUCUAUAAUCUUAAGUUUUUAAUAUUUAUAUUCAACACUUCCUUCGUAUCUGAACUUAGAUCUGUCUGAAAUAUUUAUUUCCAAUAAUUUUUCUUACGUGUGGACUUGGGAUUUUUUGAUAGGCUCAAAACAUGGUUUGAAUUAAAUGAGAGAAAAGUAAAUAAGGUUAGGAGCCUCGUGGGACUCGAACUAAGAAUUUUCUUUUCUGAUACUGCGUUACAUUAUAUGAAAUAACUGUUGUCUUCCAUAUAAUUAAGUUACCAAAGAACAAUAUUUUUAAUAUUUAUAUUCAAUAAUUUUAAUCACAAAGUAUUUAAGAGUACAAGUUUUAUUAUCCUAGGACAUAUUUAAUCAACCAAAUGAAGAUCUCAAUUAAUAAUAAUAAUUGGUAAGUAAAUAAAACAACAGUGUAAAACAUUCUUACGGUCAAUUUUUGUUAGCCAUGCUCGAUCAAAUAUUCUUUUCACUGUAAAAUAUAUCAAUUAAGAAAAGUAUAAUAUAAAUUAAAUGCAAAAUUAAUAAAUAUAAAUAUAUUCAUUCAUGAGAUAAAUAAUUAAACUAAUGUUCCUUGCACAUGAAUCUAGUUUACUUGACUCAAUUAAAUUGAUUUGCCGUAACGUGCAAGCGCAACCGCAUCCUCUUUUAGAAGUAGAAAUAACCUUUCUCCAUCUUAGAAAAAGGAUACUUAACUAGCUAGCUAUAGUGAUGAAUAAAAGUUUUAGUAGAAAAAGCAACAAUUAAUGGAUUCUUUCUCUUUAAAUCAUUUUAUGCCCACCAUCUUGACUUAGAUGGCACCAUCAAUGCUUUUCAAUUAAUCUAGUUUUAAGUUCAAUUAAAAGAUGCGAAAUUUAAGUUAAUCCAAAGUUUUAAACUAUCAGAGAAUGAUAAUUUUUAUAUUAUAUAUUCUAUCUUUACAUUUGGACUCGAGAUAUUUUGAUAGGUCGAGCGGAAGGAGCCUCACGAGAUUCGAAUUCAGUAUCUCGUACUCUGAUAUUAUAUUAAAUAAUAUAAAACAACUAUUUAUUAUUUUUUUCAAGCCUUAUUUUGACUUGUGUGUUGAAAUUGAGUCAUCUAUAUUUUACCCUUCAAUCAAUUUGAUAUUAUAUAAAAAACGACUUAGAAAUAAUCUUAUUACCUUUACCUCAUUAAUGUACAUAUAGAGUUGAGCUGGAAUGCUAUUGGUAGUAAAUGGGGGGCUUCGUUACCAUCCAUUUAUUUACAAUGAUCGGCGCCGUUGAAUAUAAUUUAUACUAUUUGAAAUAUCUAGAAAUAAAAUUUUAAAUUUUUUAGACAUCAUUGGCCUAAUGAUCAAAGAGUUUCAAAAUUUAUAAUUUUAACGGUCGAUAUGAAACGUUUUUCGUUUAACAGCGUAAAGAUAUUCAAAUCAAUUGCGUUUUAGUUAGAAAAUUCUUUAAACUAUUUAGAACAAGAUCUAUACUCUUGAUCUUAAUUACAAUACUCUUAUCGUUACUCUUUAAAAGAUAUUCAUUUUCGGCCGUUCAUUUUUGUGUCCACUUGAUACAUAAGAGAACGAUAUCGAAAAAGUACGAAAUUUGAUUUCUAAAUGUUUCAAGUGGUGUAGAUUAUGUUCAAUAGCGCUGAUCAUCGAUUUGGAGACUCGAUCACCGAAAACAAAUAAAUGGCAAUAGAGCCUGUUUGCUAUCGGUAACAUUCCAGCUCAACUUUCUCUCUCUCUCUCUCUCUCUCUCUCUACAUAUAUANAGCCCUUGGAUGGAGAGAUGUGAGGUUGAGAUGAUGGGGAUAGGUGGUGGUAGGUGGUGGUAGGUGGAAUAGUGUUUGAUUCAAGGGCUAUUUGUAAUCAAAAAGUAGAUCCAAUGGCUAAAAACGUGAUAGCAACAUGAAGAUGAUACUUGUAAAAGUAUCCUAGAUCAAUUAUAUAUAUAUAUAUAUAUAUAUAUAUAGAAUAUUAGAUUGUAUAAACUAUACAACACAUGAAAAGAAAGGCGAAAAAUAUAAAAUUUGUAAGAAGAAGAUGAAAAUUAAUUAAAAGAGUACAACCGCGAAGAACCCACUUGGAUACCAUAUUUUUUCACACCCAUGAUAAGUAAGGCGGAAAAAGGUAAAAAUUUAUGAGAUGUUGAAAAUUAAGAGUACAUCCGUGUAGAACCGAUUUUAAUAUCAUAUUUUUCCUCAACCGAUGUAUGUAGCAUGUCCAACGAAUUAAUAGUCUUUAAAAAUGUCAAUGGUCUAAUUUGCUCUUCACAUUUGGCUGAGUCGAUUCCUUUAGACUUAGACUACAGUUAUGAUCGAUCAGCAUCAAUCAAUUCAACUGGUCAUAGGUGAGAGUGAUGUGUACAUAUAUGUUUCAUUAAAACCCUUACAUCAGCAUCACAAAAUGAGUGGAUUCUAAUGGGGGAGUUGAAAAUUUGAAUUCUAUUUGUAUGCAAAAAUAUCUUAUUAUAGAAUUAAUUUCAUUGAUGUCACUACAAAGUUUAAAUUUUAAAAUUUUUAUGAAUACCCUUACAAAUAUACUGAUCUUUCAUUACACAUAUUUUUAUGUAUUUUAAAAUAUAAGUUUGUAUUUUUUUUUUUUUUAUUUCUGUUUCAUGGACACUUUUUUAGCUUAUAUUUUUUAGGAAAAACUUCAAAAACCCCCCUAUGGUUUCGCACUCUUUCACUUUAGUACCAUAUGAUUUAAAGUGUAUUAAUUUGUCUUCCUGUGGUUUUGUUUUUAUCUUUUUGGCAGCUUUUUUUUAAUAUUUCGUUAAAUUAUAUACAAAAAACUUCAGAUACCCAUCUAGAUUUAUCGAAUAUUUUAUUUAGUACCUUUUAAUUUUAACUUUGUCACUGAUUUAAGAAAAAAAAUUGAUAAUAAAAAGAGAAAAACGAAACCACAGGGGACAAAUUGAUGCACUUUAAAUCAUAGGGUACUAAAGUGAGAAAGUACGAAACAACAGGGGUUUUUUUGAAGUUAUCCCUAUUUUUUAUUUUUACGAUGAAGUGUAUGGAUAGUUUAUGGAUUAAUUAUCUCCAUAUUGCGAUGUUAUUUCUGUACUUUUGGUGUUAACAUUUUAGCCCUUGGAAGUAUAUAUAUAUAUAUAUAUAUAUAUAUAUAUAUAUAUAUAAAAACUCUAAAUUUUCUGACAAAAGAAUCAUUCUAUUUUAUACAAUUCUCUCUUUUCAGUCUACUUUAAACACGAUGAAAUAUUAUUUUAUCAUAAUAAAAUAUGAAUGACAGUUAGGGACCAUCUCACAUUUUGCUCUCAUUUUUUCACCUUAGUUAUUCUCCUUAGUUAUUCUUGUUAGUUAAGUUAAAAAUUUUAUUAAACUUAAAUUGCUCUAUUAACUAUUACCCUAAUCCCAUAUUUGUUCAUGUGAUAGCUCCAUCCCUUGGGAUAAGGAAUAGAUUGGAAAUAUCUACUUUUUUUUAUAGAUUGUGAGCAAGAAUGAAUCACAAAAAAAAAAAAAUUAUCCAAAUUUUUCGCUGCGGAGCGCGGGCCUUCACAAAAAAAAAAAAACUAUCGUCUACAAUCCGAUUUUGAAAAUAAAAAAUCACGGCAGAAAAUACGAUUAUAAUAUUAAUAUGGUUUAACACUACGUACAAAUAUUUUUAGUUGCAAUCUUACAAUAUCACCAUCCAAAAGCCAUAAAUUGCACAAUUUUAGUCGUAAUCUUACAAUAUCAUCAUCCAAAGACCAGAAACGUCGCACUAGUUUUAAUUAUUACUGUUCUAAUUCUUUUAAUACUAUCAAUUCAAAAGAGGUUGAUCAUUUAAACACUUGAAUGGUUGUCCAAGAUUGUUAGAAUUCUAAUCCUUAUUGAGUUGUAGAUUUAAUAUUUUUCUUUAUUAUAUAUAUAAAUAAAUGGGUCAAGCAUUUUAAGUUCAAAAAAUCAACUAAGAAGAACAGCAGGCAACUGGCCAAACAAGUUGAUGGGUCAAGCAGCUGUCAGCUUGGACUAAUUUUAAGCUCGAUUAGCUCACACAAGUAGAGCCGGUCAAGUCAGGUUAAUUAAUUUGGCACGAAAAGGACUAAUUAUAGCCCAAAAAUUAAUUAGAUGCGACAUUAAUUAGCCUUGUGUUUCACUAGAAUUGGCCACUUAAACGUGCUCCAUGUUUCUUUCACCAAAAGGUCCAUGCAUGGAAAUUUGUGAGACCCCAAAUAGUCCUAUAUAUGAGAUAUAAUAGGGCUAAACUCUUAACCCGGCUUAAGCAUUUUGGGUGGUUGCAAGGCCCAAGAGGUUAAGAGAGUUAAGCGUACUAGGACGGGAGUAGUCCUAGGAUGGGUGACCCUCUGGAAAGUUGGGGCGUCACAGAUGGUAUCAGAGCCAAUUACCAGCCGGAAGUGUGAGAUGAGUCUCGGCUGAGCAAGGAUCUGGAUGACGGGCUAGCGAGACAAGUCUCACAUCGCCUGAUACUUGUGAGUCUGAGCCUGACGAGGACGUUAGGGCGUAAAGGGGUGGAGAUUGUGAGACCCCGAGUAGUCCUAUAUAUAAGAUAUAAUAGGGCUAAACUUUUAACCCGACUUAAGCAUAUUGGAUGGUGACAAGACCCAAGAGGUUAAGAGAGUUAAGCGUCCUAGGACAGGAGUAGUCCUAGGAUGGGUGACCUCCUAGGAAGUUAGGGCAUCACAAAAUUAGUUUUUAUUAACAGGAAUUUACAAAUUACAACUGGUGUACUUUUAAGUUCAAUGGUUUAAAUCUUACUAAUGCCUUUUCAAAAACUAAAAAAAAAAAAGAAAGAAGAAAAAAAAGUCUUGAGUUCAUAAAGUUCAAGUUUUUGGGGUGGGAUCGAGUGUUAGCAUUAUUAUUUGUCAUAAAAGAAAAGCGAAUUUAAUACGUCUCUUGAAUUUUCUAAAGUACGGAGACUUUCGUAUUUAUAAGUUGUUUUGAUAUGAUAGAAUAUAUUUAAUUUGAUAAUGGGCUCUAUUAGAUAUUAUCUAUACUAUUAUAACUAUUUAAAAAAUAAAUUUCAUAUUUUUUCGAUAUUAUUUAUCAAGUGAUGAAAUUAAUGGUCUAAAAAAUGACCGUUUUAAUGGCCGAUAAGACAUGUUUGUUAAGUUCUAUAGUGUAGAACAAUCUAAAUUAGUCAAAAAUUUAAUAAAAAGGUUUACCUACCAUUAACAGCAUGAUUAAUAUUUUAAUUUAAAAUUUAAGUCUUUAUCAUUAUAUUUUAUAAAUUUUUUGUUUUCAGCCGUUCAUUUUGAAGCUAUUAAUUAAUUCACUAGGCAAACAAAGCCUAAAAAUUAUAAAAUUUAAUUUUUAGAUGAUUUUAAUAUUGUAUUAGCAAUAUUAGAAUAUACUAGAUUAAGUUUAAUUAUAUAAUAAAUAAAGUUAAUUAAUUCAAUAUUAAUUUAAGUAGUAUUGAUUAAUGCUGUAAAAGUGAAAUAUAUUCCAACAAUUAAUUGUAUACGCCUAGUGAUGGACACGCAUCAUAUAUAGGACCAAUUAACUAUAAAACUAUGUUAAAACCAUAAUUAUAUGGUUAAUGAUUUUGGAAUACUCUAUACAAAAAAUGAAAAAAUUAUAGCCCACACCCGGUUUAUCUAUUUGCUUUAAUUAUGCACCACAUCUAAUUUUUAAUUAAAAUUAUGUCUUAAAUUCAAAUUCGAGUUUGGUAAAUGCAAUCCAUGCAGUAUAAAGAGAAUGUGGCGUCCAAUAUUUAUAAUUUCUUAUAUGUAAGCUUUUUGAAUAUCAUAAAACGCAUCUAGUGUUAGAUUUUAAUUUUGUAUCCUCUAACUUCGUUACAACAAAAACGGUCUAUAGCGAUAUUUUUAAAUGUCGGUACAGGUCAAAAAAAGUGCUACUGGGUAAAUUACCGACACUUUUAAAAAGUGUUGCAAUAUGUGGGGUCGCUAGGUAUAUAGUGACAGUUAAAGAGUGUCACUAUAAUCUACAAAGAGUGCUACUAAUUUACCAACACUUAGUUAAGCAUUUAGCAAGCAUCGAAACUCUACCUCGUUGGUUGUGGUGGCGGAGGAGGAUGAGAGGAAGGGAUCUUCGUCUAGGAUUUCAGUCGAUUGAGUGAGGGGAGAAGGAAAAAAUGAUAAUCGAUUUUUCUUUUCUUUUUUUUUUUCUGUUUAUAAUCGAGCCGAAUGGACUGGGUGGGAUGGGUUGAGUAGAGUAACAUUUUAUUUUUGGUUGGAUUGGAGUUUAUAUUUAGGCAUUAGUAGAUUUUUUUUAAAAUUUUGGCAUAAAUGGGACACUUGUAUAUACAAAAGUGUUCCAAACAUGUGUCCCUAUAAUCUUAUUCUGUUAUAGUGCAUAGCAUUUUAAAGAGUGUGUUAAAUGAAAUAUAUGCAUGUAAUAAUUUGAUUCACCUUAAUUAUCUAACAAAUUAAAUAUGUGGUUUUUAUUUUCAAUAAUAUAAAAAAAAAUUAUAUUUAACACCCACUGUGCUCAUUUCAUGUUAAAUAACAUGAAACAACUAUUAUACUUUAAAAACUUAAGCCAGUAAAAAACAGUAUUUUAAAUAUUUUUUAUAUUUAACAGUUUCUAUAUCUUUUGGUCUCAUUUUCAAGUUCGCUGAUUUAUCCGAACAAAUGUUGAACCAACUUUCGCACAUUAUGACCGACCGUUUCUAACGCAAGUGGCAAAAGAUUUGGUGGUUGCUACUCGAGAUUUCAAGUUUAAAUCUUAGUUGAUUCACAUUUCCAGCUAAAUUUAUUUUAAAAAAAUAAACGAAGCGGAUAGUAUGUUAUCUUUCUCUCUAAAAAAAAAAAAAAAAUUUCGUGCAUUAUACGAGUUCCAGGUGCGACAUACUCAGCUCGUCCAAACUGCCCCUCGAUUUACAACAUUAAUUGUGCAAGUUAGAAAAAGUACUUUCCUCUUUUUUUUUUUUUGUUUGGAGAUCAACUCUUGUCUCACUUUUCUAGUUUAGAAGUUUAUUAAUCUAAUGAAUAAAACAGAUAACUCGCCUUAUUUCUAAAGAAAAAGUAUGUUUCUUUCUUCUAAAUGAAAAAGCUCUAUAGCUUCUUUAGUGUGAAAAGCCGAUUCUGGGAUUCAAAGAAUUGGAGUUAUUAUUAUGCAUGAAAGAAAAACGUUAUAUGGUGCUAUAUAUAUAUUUAGGGGUUAAUUACACCAAUAGUCCCUAACUUUUACACUAUUUUUCAAUUUGGUUCCCAAUCUUUUUUUUUUGCAAUCAAGUUCCUAAUCUUUUUAUUUCAUUUCAAUUAAAUUCCAGCUGUUAGAUAGCUGUUAAAAUUGACGAAAAAUACCACAUCAGCGCCACGGAGGCGCCAUGUCAGCGCCACGGUGGCACUGUGCCAGCGGAUUGCAAACAAAAAAAAGGUUGGGGACCAAAUUGAAAAAUAGUGCAAAGGUUGAGAACCAAUGGUAUAAUUAAUCCAUUAAAUUUAUAAAUUCAAAAAAAAAAUUUAAAUUUUGAUUUUGAAUUCAAAUUUAAAUUGGAAUUCAAAUUCCGAUUUUGUAUUUAAUUUUAAAUUUUUAAUUUUAAAUUCAAAUUCACAUUUGGAAUUCUAAAUUCUAAUUUAAUUUCAAACUUCGAUUUGAAAUUUCAAAUUCAAAAUGUGAAUUUGAAUUCGAAGUUUAAAUUCAAAUAGAAUUGAAAUCAAAUCUUAAAUUCAAAUUUAAAUUUUAAAUUCAAAUUUAAAAUUUAAAAUCAAAAUUUUGAAUAUGAUUUUAAAUUUAAAUUCAUAUUUUAAAUUUAAAUUUCAGUUUCAAAACUUUUAUUUUAAAUGUAAACUGAAAUAUCAAAAUCAAAAUCAAAAUUUUAAGUUUGAAUUCAAAAUUUAGAUUCAAUUAAAAAUUUAAAUUUAAAAUUUUAAUUUUAAUUCAAAAUUUUAAUUCAGUUUUAAAUUCAAAUUCAAAAUUCUAAUUUCUCGUUAGUUUAAAAUAUUAAUUUUAAUAUUAUUUUUGAAUUUAAAUUUAAAAUUUUGAAUUUUUUUGGGGAACUAAAAUGAAAAAUGUGCGAAGUUUAAGGACCUAAUUGACAUGCAAAAGGCUGCAACAUAGGCGCUGAAGUGGCGAUUCCGUUAAUAUUAACAGUUUUUUAAACGAUUGGAACCUAAUUGUAAUAAAAUCAAAAGAUUAGGGACUCAAUUGCAAAAAAAAAAAAAGGUUGGAGACUCAAGUAAAAAUUGGUGGAAAGAUUGGGGACUACCGGUGUAAUUAACCCUAUAUUUAGUUAGAAAAGGCCUAAUCCCAAUUUGUAGAUACGAAAUUCCUAAUAAGAGAUCUCAGGUGACGACCAAACUAAAAUUCCAAUUUAUGCUAAGUUUGUGCUCGAGGCCUUGCUGCCUCACUUCUUAUAGCUGAUUUCAUUUACCUUGGUGAAUGUAGCAGGUACUAAGCACGCUAUCUUUCUUUUAGAGAAAAAAAAAAGGAGCUCUUCAGUAAGGAUUGUGAAUAUAAUUUUUUUUUUUUUUUUGAGAGAUAGGUUGCACGCUAGCCGCUUCGUUUAUUUCAUUUAGAAAUAAACUUAGCUGGAAAUGCGAAUCAACUAGGAUUCGAACUUGGAUCUCGAGUACCAACCACCAAACCCUUUGCCACUUGCUCUAGGGACGGUCGGCGGAUUGUGAAUAUAAUUAAAUGAACCAUCAGAUAGGUCACACUUAAGUAUAUACGAUCCAAUUACGGAUCAUACUUGUGCUCUCUUCUUAUGAAAGAUCUUUAAUUUCCAGUAAAUUAAGUUUUGUUCUUGUACGUAGUCCCAAACCACGUAUACAAAGGCCACUCUAUGUAAAAUAAUGGAACUCCUUCUAUUUCUGAAUAAUUUAUAAUAAAAUAAUUAAAAAAAACUUCAAAUGAUCACACUACAACAAAAACGGUCUAUAGCGACACUUUUAAAUGUAGGUACAUGUCAAAAAAGUGCUGCUAGCUAAAAUUACCGACACUUUUAAAAAAUGUUGCUAUAUGUGGGGUCGCUAGGUAUAUAGUGACAGUUAAAGAGUGUCACUAUAACCUAAAAAAGUGUUGCUAAUUUACCAACACUUAUUUAAGCAUUUAACGACCGCCGAAACUUUAUCUCGUUAGCUGCGGUGGCAAAGGAGGACGACAGGAAAGGCUCUUCGUCCAGAAUUUUAGUGAAUUCAGUGAAGAGAGAAGAAAAGAUGGUAAUUGAUUUUUCUUUUUUUUUUUUCUUUUCAGUUUGUAAUCGGCCAAAUGGACUGGGUGUGGUGGGUUGAGUAGAGUAAUCUUUUAUUUUUUAUUGGAUUGGGCUUUAUAUUUAGGCAUUAGUAGAUGUUUUUUUAAAUUUUAGCAUAAAUGGGACACUUUCUCAAAAGUGUCCUAAACAUGUGUCCCUAUAACCUAAUUCUUUUGUAGCGUGACAAAUGAGAAGUUGAAUUGUCAAGCUAGAGAUGACACACAACUCUUGAAGAUUAAAUACAAAUAUAAAAAUACUUAGGCUCUAAAGAAACAUAAAAUAAAAAAAAAGCAGCUGUAGCAGUAGGGCAUAUAUAUAUAAAAAUAUAUCUAACUUUUAGAAAGGAGCUUUGUUUGUUUGAAAACAUGCUCUCAUAUUAACAACCGAUUUGACCAAUGUAGGAUUGAGGAAUUUGGAUUCUUGCUACUUGUGCUUACAAAUUUGUUAUUAUUUUAAUUUAUUUAAAGUUUCCCUACACCUUUUCAUACACCUCUUACGAGCUAUUUGCCUUUUUUAUAGCUACAAAUGCGAAUGCACUUCAUGGAAAUAUAUAUGGUCGAAUAUAUACUAAUUAUAUUGUGUUACAUGCUGUGUUUUAUUUGGCUAUAUGUAUACUUAAGAGUGUUUAAACUAUAAAAUUUUGUAUCUUAAUUUUGCAUGCAGUUUGAAGCUACAUGACCGACUUUUCUAGUCUUAAUUUUGUAUGCAUGUCAAGCUGAACACAGUAAAGGCAGGUGCAUGCAUGCAUGUUCCGGUUUCCAAGAGUGCCAUGUAUUUUCGACUUUUUUAGUCUUAGCACGUUUAAUUCUCUUAAAUGUUGAGUCUAAUCACCGCUUAAAACGCUAUAUCUGAAUUAAAAGAUCUAGUCAUAUUAUAUCAUAUAUAUAGAAUUAUUUUAAAUUCGUAUCUGCUAGUUGGAUCAAUAAAGAAAAAAAAAAAAACUAACUAUUACAUCUUGAACGACCUAAACCUAUCUACUCGCUAGUUAUAAAAUGGAGCGAUAUCUAGCUGUACUUAUGUACAUUCCAAUUGCAUGCAACUAAAUAAAAUUUUCGUAGCUAUAAUACUCUCUUUAGAUUUUCAAAUACUGGACUGAAAAGCUUAUAUAUAUCUUAAUCAAAAUUACAACAACCUACAAAAUAUUUUAUUAUUUAUAAAAGUUUUUAAUUGCACUUUCUCAUUACGUACGUGUAGUGCAUUCUACUAUGUAGUAAUUCUAAUCAAAGCCUCUUUUGAACACCAAGAUCUCAGUGUGACGUACGUAAUGAUAUAUAUAUCUUGCAAAAAGAUAUUUUCAACUAUGUUUUUAUUUGUGACUCCUUGUGUUGCACAUGAAAAUUAAGAAUGGUUAAUUUAUAAUUAAUUAAUACUGCUCAAAAGGUGACGGUGUGAACACAAUCUCGUCAUCCAAUUUUGAAGCUCCACAUUGCUUCUUGUGCCCCAUCCUUUUUUUUUUUCUUUUUUUUUUUACUUUUUAAUUUGCUCUCAUGUAACAAACUACAUCUUCUUAAUUAAUUAAUUAAUUUAUUUAUUUCUCCUUCAUGAACUACCUCCACGUGUUUCACCACCUGGAUAGAGAUAAAAAAAAUAAUAAAUGAACAAAAUGUCGAGUUGUGGUCCAACCCCACGUUACGUUGACUAUUUGUCUCUGCCCCGUGCAGCGCAUUAAUUAUUUCAUAAAUAAAUAAAUAAAGAGAAAAUUUUAAAUACUAGCUCUAUGAUUUUAUAUUUUUUUAUUUACUAUUUUACAAUUUAAAAUAUAUCACUUUAAUAUUUUAUAAUUUCUCCUUUUUUUUCUAUUCUUUAUAUUAAUUUUUUUGUUAAUCAAUGAUAAAGUUAAAACUACAUAAUACUAAAAUAAAAAUUUGAUAAAUCAUAGAAUACUAAAGUAAAUAUUCGAUAAAUCAUAGAUAUGGUAUCUGAAGUUUUUUGUAUAUGAUUUAACGAAGAGGUAACGGAGGUACUGACGAAAAGAAAAAAAUUAAACUAUAAAAUACUAAAAUCAUACAUUUUAAAUUAUUGAAUACUAAAGUGAUGCGAAACCACAUGCGUGGUAUUAUAGGACCAUGCCGUUCACAUUUUCCAAUAUUAUUUUUUCAUCUUUGGUGCAUCAUAUAGAAUAUAAAAAUUUAUAUUCUUAAAAUUUUUUUUNUUUUGUAUAUGAUUUAACGAAGAGGUAACGGAGGUACUGACGAAAAGAAAAAAAUAAAACUAUAAAAUACUAAAAUGAUACAUUUUAAAUUAUUGAAUACUGAAGUGAAUAGGUGUGAAACCACAUGGAUGAUUUUGAAAUUACCCAUAAAUAAACCAUAGCUUACAUAGAAGGGUCGGUUUGUGAGAAAAAAUGCAAUAUAAAUGAUAAAAUUUAUAAUAAUGAGCAGGAGAAUAAUUUUAUGUAAAACGAAUGUUUUAAAAAAAUUUUAUUUUUGUAUUUGCAUGCAAUAUGAAGGUUUUGCUUGAAUAUUAUUUCUAUAUAAAUAAAAUAAAGAGUUUUUUACCAUGUGGGAAAGUAACCUUAUCUUAUAGGACCAUGCCGUUCACAUUUUCCAAUAUUAUUUUUUCAUCUUUGGUGCAUCAUAUAGAAUAUAAAAAUUUAUAUUCUUAAAAUUUUUUUUUGACUUUCUUAUUUAUUUUUUUAAAAGACUAAUAUUAAAAAUAUCUUUUUAACAUUACAAGUUAUUUCAAAUAUAACUCUUGAAUUAAAUUCUAUUCAUAAACUGUUAGAAAUAGUUAUUAUUCCUGUGAAAUUACUGUUUUACUCUUUCAAGUAUAUUUUACGGUCACCAAUUUUUCAUAUUUGUUUUUAAGUUAGUGAUAAAAUAAAUAUUUUGACUUUUUAUCUUUUCAAGUAAAUCUUUCUACUGUUACUAAUUUUUCUUAUUUUCUUUCAAGUUAGCAAUAAUAAAAAGUUUUUUGACUUCUUUUGAACUCUGGUAGAAAUUUAACACGAAUUUAAUCCGAGACGACUUAAUGGGUGUUUGUGAUGCCCCACUUCCCCUGAGGUCACCAUGAGAAAAAAAAAAAAAAAAAAUGAAAAUAAACAAGUCCUUAAAUACUUUGUUAAAGUUAGUAUCUUUAUUAAUUAGCCCUUAGUCACUAACUACUAAAGAAAGAUACAACUUAAUCAAAUAAAAAAGCAUAUAAGUUCGAAUUCUAGUUAAUUCACAUUUUCAGCUAAGUUUAUUUCCAAAUGAAAUAAACGAAAUGGGUAACAUACUACCUAUCUCUCAAAAAAAGAAAAGAAAAAAGCACAUAAGAUGGAUGAAUUUAAUUAAACUGCUGUUAUCAUUUAGCACAAAUUUUUAAUUUAUCUAACGAAAUUUACUUUAAAUAAAGAACACAAACCAUUCUCGGGGGAUGUAAGUGUUGUGUUUCACAAUUGAAGUUGCACCAAUAUUUUAAAUUUGUUUCACGACAUUUGGGCUCCAACAUUUCGUACACAUUACAUCAUUUUUUUAUGCCAAAUUUUGUACUAACAUGUCUUAGAGAAAGAACACAGUGCUUCUCCCCUUUUCAAACCCGUGCGCGUGUGAAAGGUCCGAAUCAUUUAAAAAAAAAAACAUAUUUUAUUUUUGUUUUGAUUUUUAUUUCUAAGAAAUUAAAGCAUUUCGAAAAAAAGAAAAAUAAAAUAAUGUAGUUAAUAAGUUAUAUUUGGAUACCAACUAUAUAUUUAGAAUCGUUGUAGAUUCUAUUUAAAAAUCUAGCUCUAAUUUAAUGCAUUUUUUACCAAGCUUUCAUUUAUAAUUUCAGCAAUUAUUACUUUCAGUAGAGAAUUUGACAAAUAGAAAAAUUUGUAAAUUUUGUUAAGGGAUUCAAAUUAAGUAGAAGCUCUCUGAUUUAGUGCUUUUAUUUUUGCUACAGAGAAAAAUCACAUUGCGUUUUUAUAUAGUACUUUUCUUAAUAUAUAGUACUACUGGGAUAAUAUUUUAUUAAAUACUAUUAUACCUUAUUGCGGUGGAAAAUAGCCUCUUAUCCAUCUAAUUAUAUGGCUACAGAAAAUUUACUAAAACAGAAAUAAUUCAAUUCAAAGUUUACAAGUUGGGCUAGAAGACUAUUAAUAGCAUCUGCCUCUUUUUGUUAUCAAGUUUUUAGGUUUUGGAUAAAAUUUUUUGAUCAAUUUUAGCCAUUAGAUUAAAUAUUAUAAUCUAGUGAGAACCACUCAACCGUAAGUGACUAAUAUCAUUCUAACCCUACAAUUUCCCAUCCAAAAGAUUAAAAAUUUGAUAGCAAAAAAGGCAAAAUACUAUUAAUAGUAUUACAUCCCAACUCAUAUCAGCAGGUCUUGUGUGCUAUUAAGAGCACGGAGUCCUUCGUACUCCUAAGCCGUUUUCGAUGAUGGAGCUUCCGAAUCGAUCAACGAUCGGCUCCGUUAAACUUGAUCUAGUGUAUUUGAACUAUCUUGAAAAUAAUUUUUGUGAUUUUUCGGUAUCAUUUACCUAACGAUCGAAAGAGUUCAAAAUCAACAAUUUUUAAUGGUUGUAUACCGUUUGCAAGUUUAACGGUGUAGAGUAUUCAAAUUAGAUGAAAUUUUGAUAGAAAAUUCUUUAUACUAUUUACAACAAAAUCAAUAUGUUUGAUCGAAAAUUUUAAUACUAUAUCACAACUUUUUAUGAGAUUUUUAUUUUCAGCCGUUGAUUUUGAACCCUUUCAAUCGUUAGGUAAAUGAUAUCGAAAAAUCAUAAAAAUUAUUUUCUAGAUACUUCAAAUAUGUUAGAUCAAGUCUAGCGGAGCCGAUCGUCGAUUUGGAAGCUCCAUCAUCGAAAACGGCUUAGGAGCACGGAGGCCUCUAUGCUCCUAAUAGCACACAAGACCUACUCUAUAUGUAUAUAAGUAGAGUUGAGUUGGAAUACUAUCAGUAGCAAAUGGGCUCCGAUGCCACCCAAUUGUUUUCGACAACGGAGCCUCCAAAGUGACGAUCGACACCAUUGAACAUGAUCUAUAUCAUUUGAAGUAUCUAGACACCAAAUUUCAAAUCUUUUCGACAUCAUUAGCGUAAUGAUCAAAGGGUUUCAAAAUAUGUAAUUUUAAUAGUCAAUAUGAGGCGUUUUUUCGUUUAACGGUGUAAAGAUAUCCAAAUUGAUUGAAUUUUUAUUAGAAAAUUAUUUAAACUAUUUAGAACAUGAUCUAUACUCUCGAUCUUGAUUACCAUAUUCCUACUUCAACUUUUUAAAGAAUAUUUAUUUUCAGCCCUUCAUUUUGUAUCCACUUGAUUGACAAGAAAACAAUAUCGAAAAAAUAUAAAAUUUGAUUUCUAAAUGCUUUAAAAGGUAUAGAUCAUGUUCAAUAGUGCUGAUAUCGAAAACAAAUGGAUGGCAUCGGAGCCCGUUUGCUACCGAUAGUAUUCUAGCUCAACUCUGUAGAGUGGAGCUAGAAUACUAUCGGUAGCAAACGGGCUACGAUGCCACCCAUUUGUUUUCGACAACGGAGCCUCCAAAGUGACGAUCGACACCGUUGAACAUGAUUUAUAUCAUUUGAAGUAUCUAGACACCAAAUUUCUAGAGUUGAGCUGGAAAACUAUCAGUAGCAAACGGGCUCUGAUACCACCCAUUUGUUUUUUACAACGGAGCCUCCAAAGUGACGAUCGACACCGUUGAACAUGAUCUAUAUCAUUUGAAGUAUCUAGACACCAAAUUUUAAAUCUUUUCGACAUCAUUAACCUAAUGAUCAAAGGGUUUCAAAAUAUGUAAUUUUAGAGGUCGAUAUGAGGCGUUUUCUCGUUUAACGGUGUAAAGAUAUCCAAACCGAUUGAAUUUUGAUUAAAAAAUUAUUUAAACUAUUUAGAACAUGAUCUAUACUCUCGAUCUUGGUUACAAGAUUCCUACCAUCACUUUUUAAAGAAUAUUCAUUUUCAGCCUUACAUUUUGUACCCACUUGAUGGACAAGAAAAUAAUAUUGAAAAAAUAUAAAAUUUGAUUUCUAGAUGCUUUAAAAGGUAUAGAUCAUGUUCAACAGUACUGAUCGUCGAUUUGGAGACUCUAUCAUCGAAAAUAAAUGGGUGGCAAUGAAGCCCGUUUGCUAGUAUUCUAACUCAACUCUCUCUCUCUCUCUCUCUCUCUCUCUCUCUCUCUCUAUAUAUAUAUAUAUCUCUCUCUCUCUACCCGGAGAUUAUUCCCACCACUGGGUGGGAACAAGUUGUUCCCACCCAUAACCCGGUAUGGGUACUUGGGUGGANAUUAAUAGCAAAAGGUUUUUUUUACUAUCAAAUUUUUAGCUUUUGGAUCAAUUUCUUUCAUCAUAUCUAACCAUUGGAUUAAAUAUUAUAACCCAGUGAGGACCACUCAAUCCUUUGGGGACUACUCAACACUAAAAGGGACUAAUUUUAUUCGGAUCAAUUUCUUUCAUCAUAUCUAACCAUUAGAUUAAAUAUUAUAACCCAGUGAGGACCACUCAAUCCUAUGGGGACUACUCAACUCUAAAAGGGACUAAUUUUAUUCUAACCCUUCAAUUUUAAUUUAAAGGUUAAACACUUGAUAGCAAAAAAAAUUUUUUGCUAUCAAUAGUAUUCCAACCUAGCUCUCUCUCUCUCUCUCUCUCUCUCUCUCUAUAUAUAUAUAUAUAUAUACUUUGAGAAUGUUAGGAAAUAUGGUAAUCGUACGUGUCCCACUCUAAGCAUAGGAAAUAUAAUACUAACAUAAUAGAUCUUUACUAUUGAUAUAUCAGGUGGCCCAAUACUUUCCCAGAAGUUGCCGCAGUUGACACCCCAUCUUUCCUUAGACCACACAGUAAUGCUUCACGUUGAGGAUUCAAUUCCACACUAGCAUAUAUAAAUACCCUCAAGGGUGGUACAUGUGAGGUGUACGUGUUGUUGCUCUCUCCUCCCUUUCUAUUUCUUCCCCUCUUGGAUUUAAAAGACAAAUUAAUUGGAGAGAAAAACCAACACAAAACAAAAAAAAAAAAAAAAACACACAAAAAGGGAAUUAAGUUUUUGAUACAUAGAGAGAAAGAGAGAGAGAGAGAGGGGGAGUUUAGAGAGUACUGUUUUGGUGUAUUUAAGAGAGUAUACAUACGAAGUUAAUUAAGAUGGUGAGAGCUCCAUGCUGUGAGAAGAUGGGGGUGAAGAAGGGGCCAUGGACUCCCGAAGAAGAUCGAAUACUCGUAGAUUACAUACAAAGAUAUGGCCAUGGGAAUUGGCGCGCACUACCGAAACAAGCAGGUAAUUGUUUAACCCUGAUUGUUCAUGUAGUUAUGAACACUCAAAGUUUUUAAAGGAUUUUAAGUAAAUUAUCUUUGAUUCUAAUAGUGAAUCACGCGCGCUUUCUCUUCUAUAUUUUCUAGGUCUAUUGAGGUGCGGGAAGAGUUGCAGGCUCAGAUGGGCCAACUAUUUGCGACCGGAUAUAAAGCGAGGGAACUUCACGAAGGAGGAAGAGGAGAUGAUCUUCAAAUUGCAUGAGUUGCUUGGGAAUAGGUACAGGCCAAUCAUUCUAUGUUGCCCGACAAGCGGGUAGUAUGAUUGAAUAAUUCAUUAACAUUAAUUAAAAAAAAUGUUGGCUUGAUAAAGAUGAAACUAUUAUCAAGCAUAUUACAUAAGUCAACACUCUCUCUUUCCCUUCUUUUAUUCUUUCACAACACUCAUUACAUAAUAGAGCAAAAGAUAUAUAAAGGUAAAAAACUAUAUAUAUAUAUAUAUAUAUAUAUAUAUAUAUAUAUAUACCCCCUAGAAGAUAGGUGCCCCAACUAUAUUUUAAUUUUUUAAGACUUUCUCAAUUUUUCAUUAUUUUGAUUAUUUGUCUAUUAGUUUAGAAAUUUGAUUUUAUUAAAUUUAAAGACUUAAACAUCUUAAUUUCAGCAAAUCGAACAAGCUAGCUAGUACAAGUUUCAUUAAUCAUUAAUAUAAGAGCUAAUUGUUCAUUCAUAUAUAAAACAGUUACUAGAAUAACUUAACCCAUAACCCAUAUAAAGUUGAGGGUGGUUCUCAAUAAAAAAAGAAAAAUUUUAAAAAUGGGGGGCCAAUUUAAGAAUAGCCUAUAGUUAAUGGGGUUAGGCCACAUUUUUUCUAAGGAGAAAUUUUGACUGGAGAGCUCUAAGGAUUCUUUUUACAUUUGACUUAAUCACCAAUAUUGAAAAGAAACCAUGUAGCAGUAUCCUUUUGGACCACAUACAUUUAUACUGCACUGUGAGCAUCACCACCCCACAUUGGUUCAUGCAUCUCAUUCACUUGUCCUUUCAUGUCUCCUGCAGGGAUAAUUAUAACAUAGAAGCUAAAUAAAUAAAUAAAUAACUAGUGAACUUUUGCAUUUCCAUUUUACCAUGAGGAAUUUAGCUCAAAUCUAGGUGAUGCCAUGUCUUUAAUAUUGACAGAGAGAAAGAUUUAUUGAAUCUGAUCAUUAUUUACUAAUUAUAAGUUAAAUUUUUAUUUGCUCACAGAUGGUCGGCGAUUGCUGCGAGGCUACCGGGUCGGACAGACAACGAGAUCAAGAACGUGUGGCACACAUACCUAAAGAAGCGCCUCAUGCCGAAUCAAACGGUGAAAGAGUCCAAGAAAAGGGCCAUUCACACUAGCGAGCCCAAGACCGAGUCCAAACCGAUCAUCCCCCGAUCCGACUCGGGCUUGGCCACAUCACCCGAGUAUUCGAUGAGUGGCUUCUCGUCCUCAGUUGCCGACGGUAAUUCAGCUGCCACAGUUGAAGAGAGCUUCUCUUCGGAAGAGUUCACAGAAAUUAUCGAUGAGCGCUUUUGGUCGGAAACACUUUCGAUGGAUGAUUGUUUUGCGACCACCAUGCAAUAUGGAGCUUCCGAAACCCCUUCGGGUGAUCAAAUCAACGAACCAUCGUUGAGUCCGCUCUCGUCGAAUAGUGAAGGGAUGGAGUUUUGGUGGAGGGUCUUUAUGGAAGCUGGAGAGAUGAAGGAUUUGGCACUAAUCUAAUUAACUAAGCACAGGGAAAUGAAAAUUAACAUCACCAAUUAAUUAAUUUUCUGGAUAUACUCUUUUUUUUUUUUUGAAUAGUUCAUAUGUACACUGACCAAUGAGAAGUACUGGUGGAUUCAGAGUUUGAAAAAGUAACCUUGAAGGAUAACAGUGGGUUAAGAAAAAAUUGGAAUAGAGCUUUUUUGCUCCUUUUGUUUGUGGAAAAAUAGGAAAGGAUGUGGGUGUCCUUCGGAUUUUGGCAAAUACCAAAACAUUGUAUGGUACUACUAAAGGAAUCUACAAUACUUUUAUAUUCACCAACUUUUCGAAUUAUUAAUGAUCUUGCAGUGCUUAAUUGGUAGUGUUUUCUGAGUUACUGCAAAUUUUUUAAUUAAACGAAUUCCCUUAAUAUCGAAUCGUAGUACUACCAUUGAUUUUUCUAGUUUGAAUGCUAGCUGGAAUGAAUAACUAAUUAAGUGUCUCUUAUUACUCGUUUAUAAAAACCCUAUUUGAAUGUAUAAAACAUAUAUAUAAUAGGUUUACUAGACUUCUAUGAUUAUGAUUUCUUUGUUUUUAUAAUUUUUUGCCGUUGGAUGUAGAAAUAUGCAGUUAGGAUGAUAAUUGUCUCCCGUUAGAAUAAUAGUAAUUCUCUAAAGUUAAAUGGAUGGUUGGUUAAAUAAUAUAAUCUUACGGGUGGAAAUGAUCAAAGAUGUAAAUCUAACGAUCAAAAACUUAUCAGUACCAAAAGAUCUAUAUUCAUAAGAGUUAUAUAUAUAUAUAUAUAUAUAUAUAUAGAGAGAGAGAGAGAGAGAGAGAGAGAGAGAGAGAGAAG